UCUAAUAAGGGUGUAAAUUUUGAGCCUAAAAAUUAAAUGACUAUGAACAAACUGUAAUGAUUUGAUUCGUCAAUUUGAUCGGUUCAAAUUAUCGCCCAAAAAAUAUUCAAUUCUAAAUUACUAUCAUUUACAUGUAAAGCAAGAUGUUAACAUCCUUUAGGUGGUUCGGGAUUGCGAAAAGGUUAUAUUAAUUACGCGCUAUGUAAAGUAAAAAGGUGCAAUAUAUACAAUAAAUAUUAGACAUUUGUGGCGCCAAAGGUGCUGACUCUCAAAUACCGUGUUACGUGAGGUCAUUGUUUCCUUUUUUUUUUUUAUUUCGGAUCUACGUACAUUAACUUAUGAGAUCCUCCCUAUCUUUUUUUUCCUUUUAGUCCCCACUGCUAUUUAAACAGGCGAAAGAGAUGUGAAAGAGAAGUGCCACCGGUGAACAUGAUGAAGCACAAACAUCCAAAUACAGCUCUGGUGCUCUUGCUUGCCAAUUCUAGUGAAGUUACAAAGCAACUAGCUAUUUCAUGGACCACCACCUUAUCCUAAAAGCAACUAGCUAUUUCAUGGACCACCACCUUAUCCUAAAAGCAACUAGCUAUUUCAUGGACCACCACCUUACGCUAAAGGGGGAUAUCUCGGACCUGUUUCAGGAGAUGUAUGAGGGGAGGCUGUCCACCAACUCUAUUGACUACACUUUCAUUUGUUUAGCCCCCAAAAAGGAAGGGGCUGUGCAGGCGAAUGACUAUCGUCCUAUAUACUUACUGAACGGGAUCCAGGAGAAUUUAUCGAAGGUUUUGGCCAAUCGUCUUGAGCUGAUUAUGAACGACCUGAUUUCUCCCUCCCAAUCUAUAUUCUUAAAGGGUAGGAAUAUACCUGAUGCAUAUGUAGCAGCCUCCGAACUACUAGGAUGGGGAUACAAUAUGGCUAUAGAGGGGGUCGGUGUGAAGGUGGACUUCGAAAAGACUUAUGAUAAGAUUAGUUGGCCUUUCCUGUUUCGUAUUUUAGACUGAUGGGGCUUCAGCAAAAAGUGGUGUGAAUAGAUCAAGCUAUGUGUGUGUUUUACCAAAGUAGCAGUUUUGGUCAAUGGAGAGGCCACCAAUUGGAUAAAGACGAAGAGAGGAGUAAGACAAGAGGACCUGCUUUCUCCUUUUCUUUUCUUACUGGUGGCGGAGUGCCUUGCCCGAAUGGCAAACGAGGCAAUUUCUAAUAUUCUCAUCAAAGGCCUUGGACCCUCCAACGAGAGUAGAGUUACUCUUAUUCAGUUUGCGAACAACACAUUCUUCUUCUGCGAGGCUAGAAAAAAGGAUAUAAGAAAUCUCAAGUUCUUAUGGCAGCUCUUCGAAUGGGCUUCCAGAAUGAAGGUUAACAGGGAAAAAUUAGAACUAUACUAUAUUGGGCAGAUUGAGGGAAAAGCGAUAAGACUUGCGAAUUUACUCGAGUGCAGAGUUGGCAGCCUUCCUACCAAAUAUCUAGGGCUGCCUCUUUUUCCCAGAGCACCUUCAAAGCGGAUUGAAUGGGGAUUGUCUAGAAAAUAUAAAGUAAAAUCGAUGGCUAGCAGGCCAAACUCUUUUUAAAAGGGUGCAGGCUUAUUCUGGUGAACACGGUCUUAACAAUUUACCCCUACUUCCUGUCUACAUUCAAGGCACCCAAAUGGUGAUCAAACGCAUUGAGGCACUUUGUAGAGACUUUUUCUAGAAAGAAGGUAGCUUCUCUCCAAGCAAGGGAUGUCUAAUCACAUGGAAGAAUGUCUGCAGAAAUAAGAAACAAGGAGAGCUUGGCAUCUUGGACUUAACUAUUAUGAACCUAGCUUUAAUUGCCAAAUGGUGGUGGAAGUUUUACACGACGCCUCAAUUAUAGUGGAACAAGAUUAUGUCACGCCCCGGGGUCCCUUUUUGAUUUAAAAGUCAAUGCGGAAGUGUCCAGAUUUUUUUUUUUUGAAAAACCUGACCGGUCAUGCCCCGGGACCCAGCAGAAGCCCGCCCGGUGCGUGUCCAGACCCGCCAUAUGCCUACAACAUAUAAGGCGUCUACAACAAGCAAUAAUUAAAUAAGCACCUAAAGAUAUCAGAGCAAGAUUGCAACUAAAUUCUAACAGCAAGAAGAAAUAAAAGAAUUGAACAGCUAACAUAAAAGUAGAGGUAGAUACAACAAGAUCCAAAUACAAGUGCUAGAUAUACAAAAAUGGUGGCCUCUACAUAAAGGUACAAAACUCUCGUCCUUUCCAAAUAAUACAAAUGAGAGGUGAACCACCUAAUAACGAAGCUCCUCACAACUAGCUCGAGGCAAUACCCUUGCCGCGGUCCCGAGCCUCUCCCGGCAUAGAAGGCUUUGAAAUAAAACAACAAAACAGAGGGUGUGAGAACUAUUAAUCAAUAGUUCCCAGUGGGCAAACCGCUGACCUUAGCGAAAUACUCCACUAGGUUAAAGAGGCAAAAGUAGUAAAUGAACUAUAAUAAACAACAUGUAUGUGAAAUACAACAAUGAACUUGGCUAAGUUACUAUGCCUCAAGUUUAGGAUGAUAUUAAGCAUGAAAAGUUACUAAUCUAUCAUAAACGUGUAUAUCCAAGGAGUAUACUAGUAUGCUCUAAACAUCACCAACAUAAAUAUAAAUAUGCACCAAGCAUGGUUCACAAGUAUACCACUAUGUCCAACAAGUGUAAUAAUAUGCCCAACCAAUAUCUACUAUUAAGUAGUAAUUGUCACUUAGUUGUUUAUAUGUCAUUUUUCAUUUCCAAUCUAGGACCUACACAAGUGUAGUCCGGCUUGUGCCGCCUAAUGGUCACGGGUAGUCCAGCAUUUCUCUAGGAAUAUGAUUGUCCCACAGUGACCCAAUAGGUCUUCAAUCCCGCAUGGGCGAGCAUAUAUUGUGUAGGCCAACUCCAGAGUGCCGGCUUGUAGGGAGCGACCCUCACAAGCAUGUGCGAAUGAGCACAAAUAGCAAGCAAGCAUAGUCAUCAUCUUAAGUAUACGGUCAUCAUGUGUCAAUCACGGUAUAAACACUAGCACCUGAAAGGUCUAGUUCUACGUCACAAUGCAAAGGUUCCACCGUUUACUAGGUCUAAUGCCACUUUAUGACAUUAUAGUUUACUAUGUCAACACAUAUUCUAAGUCCAAUGCCACUUUAUGAUAUUAUAGUUUACUAUGUCAACACAUAUUCCAAGUCCAAUGCCACUUUAUGACAUUAUAUAAUCCCUAUGUUUAGCACAUGUCUAUUGUUCUCAAACAAGUAAAAGCUUGUCAUUUCAACACAUCUGACAUGAUUUCUAAUAUAUCAUGAAAAUGCCACACACUAGCACGUGUACUACAUACAUAUCUCACUACUACAUAGGGAGGAAAUGUCAUGAUACAUAACAUAUGCAUUUUAAUCAUUCUAAAAUUCAUUUAUGCUCCAUCUAGCAUGAAAAUGCAUGAAUUCCUAUUUUACAACAAGAAAUAGAACAUAGGGGGAGUUCACCUAUUUCGAUGAGGUCAAACCUAACAAGAACUCCUCGGAUCCCCUUCGUUUGCGCGAACGAAGUUCUCGACAAGUCACCUAGCUCCCUAGAGAAAAUUCUAAGAGGGUUAAACGAAAUAAACGAACACCCAUAGUAUUCAUCUUUAACCAACCUAAGAAAAGGGCAAAACUCAACUAAAAUGGUAGAAAAACCCUCCUAAAAUCCGAAUGGAAGCUAGAGCCCUCCAAAACCAACCUAAAAGAAGGUUAUAAACCAAUCAAUUGAGCUCCAAAAGCUACUAAUCAAAAAUUCCCAAAUAAACCCUAGGUUUCUCAUUUUUAGGGUUUUCACACAAAAACUGUCACGCCCCGAGGCCGCCAAUUUGGUCGGUUCGGGCACGCCGACAGACGCCAAACGGACAGCACCUCCCUGUCCGCCCAAGGCUCUAAUCAACAAGUAUAAUACAAGCAAUUCAACAAGAUGAAUGCAAUUAUACAAGGCUUGCUCGAGAGCAAGCAACAACUAAACCACAAGUGAAAGCAUCUAUGCUAUUACACUAAACCAUUCAACACAUGUCAUUUGAUUACAUUUGAAUCAAACACAAGUACUAUACAUUUACAUUCUUAUCCAUUCAUUUACAUCACAUUGGCAUUCAUCCAAAAUACAUAAUUUAUAUCUCUUUACAUAUCUUAGUUCAACAUACGAAAGUUGAAUAUACAUAGGAAAUGCCUAUAAGACUCCGAAGGCCGCUAUCUACGGCGCUAAUCCCUUGCCUCGAUCCUCCGCCGCCCCGCUCACGCAUGGAUCUGCAAGGUUAGUGGUGGUGUGAGAACUAAAAGAAGUUCCUAGUGGGUUCGGCCACUGACCACGCCGACUCGCCCACUAGGUCUAUUCAGGUAUAUAUAAUUCAAGAAAUGAUAGAUUGCAAACCAACUAAUGCAAAACUAUUACAAUGCCUGCAAGAAAGCUGUCAAUAGAUAGAUAAUCAAAUACAUGAUAACUAUGCAUGCAUGUUCUCGUUCUCAUUCUUUUUGGCCUUUACCGAAUUAUCCUGGGGUACCCAUGGUUCACUCCAAACUCACAAUCCACACAUCCCAUCUACCGGGGGAGGCACUUGGCACUACCACCCGAAGGAUCUUCGCCGGGGCACUCUUCCCGUGGUGUCUACACUCCGGAGUACACCGCUUGAGGAGGAGCUACCUCCCUCAAGCCGAAACCAAUCUGUGAGUACGAUCCAAUCCUCAAUUUGAGGAAGUAUAGCCAAACCUGUCUCAAUGCACAAAGCCUCAAUGCCGAUGAUAGGUUAUUACCAUAUCACAUUUCCACUAUAUCUGAGUCACAAUGGUCAUGAUGCCACUCUAGGUUAAACCUUGUUUAGCCGUUCUUAUACUCAGUGCCAAUCUCGUCACGAAUGUCAAUGUCACCAUUGUUUACUAUUGUCAUAGUCUCUUUUUCAUACAUUCACAUACACAUAGGGUUUUUCACAUUCAUAGUUCACAUGGUUCUAUAUCAAUUCAUAUGUUUUCUAGCAUACAAUUGAAUCUCAACCAAUCAUAUUCGUCACACUACCCUAUAUACAUGAAUGCUAACUUCAAUAUGCUCAAUAAUGGUAACAUAGACAUAGAAGGAAAUUCGGUGUUUCCGGAUAGCACCCCCCACCUUGUAGGUAUGCUAGGAUGCCGCAAUCUGAUUUCUAUGAUUUUUAGACGCCUACGCUGUAAGCUGCGAUGAUCUGUACCAAUUUAGCCUCUUUCCUCAAUAUCUCCGCGCACGCUCGUCGUUUUGCCGAACCGAGCGCACCAACGCGUUUGUUGACCUACCAAUUAGGUUAAAAAGAGAUCAAUCCCAAGAUUGAAUCUCAAAAUCUCAAAACUCUAACAUUAGGUCCCUUAACAAUAUCAUCUUCCCUACAACUAGUCCCUAGCAUGAAGAAAUAUAGGGGAAAUCCUCUAUUCAUCUCCUAGAAGCUCAUACUAGAAGGAAAUACCAAAACCUAGCUUAGAAACCAUGGAAUCUCACCUUUGGUUCAAGCUCUUGCUCUAAUCCUUGCACAAUAGCAAGCAACACUCUUGUCUUAGUCUUCUUCUCCACCUAGAUCCCUCCGAAAAGCCUCCUCGGUCCAAGCUCUAGAGAGAGGGAAGGGAGAAGAGAGGGUUUUUUAGAGAGAGAGAGGGAAGGGAGAAGAGAGGGUUUUUUAGAGAGAGAGAGGGAAGGGUGUUGGUGGUUGGAAGGGUUAAAUGAACCCUAACCCAAAGCCCCAAGCCAUUUAACCAUUCAUCAUGCCAUUUUGCACAUAAGCCCAUCUCAUUUCACCAUUUACAAUCAGCCCUCAUUGGGCAUUUUUCGCAUGCGGGGACCGGUCCUCGGCCUGAGGGACCGGACCUCAAGAGCACAACUUUCGCUGCCUGCCCGAGCUGGGCAAAAUUCGCUUACGGGGACCGAUCUCUCUCCGCAGGGAUCGGUACCCGUAGGCCCAUUUUCUAGGACUUAGCCGAUUUUUUCAUUUUCUCUGCCUGGCUAUGCAUACAGGGACCGAUCUGUCCCUGGGGACCGGACCCCGAGAGUCCAAAUUCUGGGACUUAGCUAGAUUUCUCCUCUUUUGCUCUCUUGGGUCCAUAUACCUUGUACCAAGGUUCCAAUGCACUUAGAACCCAUUCCAACUCAUCCGACUCUGCGCUCCGCUCGUUUCGACGGAACUCGGCACGAUUCACGGGGAUGCGAUAUGUUACAAAAACCACAAGAAACAUGAUCCAAUGGAGAGAAACAUGUUACUAACCUCUUUAGAAGCUUCAAUCUAAACUUGGAAUGAGCUAGGAUUGAAGAUCUCUCCUCCAACAAGUUCCAAUCCAAGCUCCAAGACUUCUCUCAUGGUGGAAAAUACCACCAAGAAGCAAAAAGAAGCAAAAGAUGUGAUUAAUUUUCAAAAAUCCCAACAAAAAUGAAAGGAAAUGAAAGAGGGGAAGAGUAGAACUUCCCUACCUUAUUCUCCUAUGUUUCCAAGCUCAGGAAACCAGCAAGGGGCGUGGGGUGCUUUAUAGUGUUGCUGCAAUAACAAAAACACCCUCAAAAACUGCAGUCUGCGAAAUUACACUGCGUACCAGUGACAUUGGGAAAGAGUAACGGUACCAGGCUACAGUAAGCGCAAACUCGAGCCUCUGCCAGGCAGAAAAACACACUGGGUAUUGGUUACUAGCCCGAUGUUCUACCGGUACCAGGUCCAGUACCGGUACAGGCCCGAUGCAGUACCGGUACUCUGCCCUGCAGAGUCAACCCGAGAGCAGCCCAAAUUCCUCAUUUCGGAGAUUUUGGCGCUAAGUUUUCACCCUCACUCCUCGGGAUGCGAGUCAUAGGUAUGAACACUGUCUACGACUUUCCAGGAUACCUGAAAAAACUCAAAACACAGAUCAAACACUCGAACCUCACAAUUUGCAAAGGUCCAGUGUGUUACAUGACCCCCAGGGUAUGCGAGAUCCGUCACAAAUACAGGAAGUUCACUGUUCACACGAAUAGAGUCUUCCCUGUAUUUGCACGGCGUUGCACAAGUACAAGAUAUACAAUUCAAGAUACAAUUACCACAUAUGAAUAUCCACACAUCCAUACACCAUUUACAUUCACAUUCAAUUCAUCACAAUUAUCCAUAAAUCUACAACUACCAGUUUAAAAUGUUUCCUACCCGGAAACUCGUUUUAAAAUACUAAGUCAUGAAAACCAAGAAAACCUUUUAAAACCGUUUCCUACACGGAAACCUUUUUCUUUUAAAACACGAUACCACGAGAGGUAAAAAAUCACUUUCAUUUUUAUAAGAAUUAUAAAUCCUUUAUUUCUUUUAUAAAAGCCAGAUGAAUCCAAAUGUAAUAAUCACUGAACCAUAAUUACUGUCUAAGUCAUUUAUUUAAAAGAAAUUGAGUUUAAGAAUUUAAACCGAAGAGACGGGUCCGAAAGCUCUAUCGAAUCGCUAAGUGCGCUACUCACGAACCGUCCCACUAUUACCCGCGACGUCACCUGUAAUGGGGGUGAGGGGUGAGAACAUGUACACAUGUUUCCUCUCCCAGUGGGUACCACAAGCCGACGAAGGCGAAGGGUACUCACCAGUCAAGGAGGAUAAACAACGAUAUGGGUAAGGGUAAUACAGUAGCAAUGAUAAAUAAAGGAACAAGAUGUAUAAAUGAAUAACUACCGCUACUGUAUAUAUGCAUCAACAGGACGAUAAGUCUAAAAAUACCCAAUCUGAAACCUGUGCUUUGUUGGUCAGCACUGCAGACCUCAAGCUAUGCCCUGUUGGUCCACACCACAGACCACAAGCCUGUGCCGCUAUCACUCUACCUGCAUAUAACCCAAGGUAGCCAAUGGGCUCAUGGGUUGGCACCUCCAACCACUUUUUCGGAAAAGAACACCCUCUUGCGGUGGAUCAGACCGCUGGUGUUCGUGAAAUGCGUAUGAGUAUCGGGCGAUCAAUGCUGAUUUGCUCAAUAGUCAACCGUCGGCAACCAGUCAACAAUCCUACCCCUCAGGGUAUACCGACCGUAUAGGUCAUCAAAUAGUCCAACCGACCAAGUAGGUCUCGAUAACAAUACAGUAAGCCGACCGAAUAGGUCACAGAUACGAGAUACAAGAACCGACCAACUAGGUCACAAUACCAGAUGCAAUGCACUAACCGACUAGGUCAUCAAUCUCACAAAUAAUCACAAAACCGCUCUGCUUCUAAAACAUAAUACUGGGUAUGCAACCAACUAAGUAAAGCAAUAAAGAGAUAUGGUAUAGGUGCUAGGCUCAACAUAUAAUAUGUAAGAUAAACAAUAAGGAAAGAGUGAAGGGAAUGUCACCGAGCGUGCACCACUGUACCGACUUCGAGUCGAAGUACCUACCUGUAUGUAUACGGUACUGGCCUUCCGACUGUAGAGGAAGUAUCAACCGGACCUACGAAGGGUCCACCGGGUUAGCAUCUAACCCACAAAAAUGAACCACUAACUCACAACCCCCACAAGUAAACCCACGGGAAUUGGUUUUCCAAACCGAUGGUCGUAACAAGCCGGAAGUCCCGAAAAUCGCACCGGGACUCCGCCGGGACCCACGAACUGUCCCGAAACUCAUCGACUCGUGCUACGAGUCACCCGCUGCCACUAAAUAUAAUUAUACGUUCGACUUGGCAGCAAACACACCGCCUCACAUCGAAACGAUUAUCGUCGGAUAAUCAUUCCGAUCAGGGUUUCCGGAAGUGUCCAAUUCGACAUCGGAACCUGCCGUCGCUCACCUGUCAUUUUCGAACCCUCUAAACAAUGCGGUUGACUAGCCAACAAGGCUCAGCGACAACAUAAUCUACCGUGAGGCACCGUCGGAAGAAAUCCAAACCGAAAACGCGUUCCGUCGGUGGAUUUUGGCGAAAAAUGCACUGGAAAUCAACAUUCGAUUUCCGAAAAAGCUUAGGGCCUUGGACAACUAGUCCAGAGGUCACCUGAUGCCCGCACACGCUGCCAACAGCAACCAUGAAACAUACAAUUGCAUAAAAACCCUCGCGACUACAUAAGAUCACAUCAUUUUAUGUGAUUUUCCAGGUUUUAUGGCCUGACAACGCAAACCAAGGAUUUUCUAGCUUGUCUGAGACACCCGCUGACAGGUCUCAAUGUAUCGGAGGCCGUGCUCACAAUUCGGAGCAUGGCCGUCCACUGUGGAGGGCGCGGGUGCGACACAGAAUUCAGCGAAUACCGCGCACAGUAUGAAAAACAUGCUUAUCUCGCAAACCAGGGGCUCGCGGAUCCCAACGAAGGCGAUCACGAUGAUCAGCACUGAUCCAAGAUCAUCGUGCUCACCUUCGGAAGCCUCGGGGUGGCCUCGGGUCACCGAAACAACGACCCGAACCCGAGACAGUGCGUAGAAACUAUAACUUAAGCUUACCGGAGCUAGGUGGAGCAUGGGUGACCGACGGAGGCCAGAUGACGGCCGCGCCGGCAGGGGAUGGGUGCAGCCAGUUAGUAGGGCCCAGGGCUCGCGUCGACAGGCGACGGGAGGCGGCGUCGACGGCUGGCAACGAUGCCCUAGCCGCGCGGUUGAUACAGAACCUGGCUCCAGCCCGGCCGGCAGGGGCCUCCGGUGGCGGUAGCGCCGGCGGUAUUCGGGUCCGGCCGACCAGGGGGAGCCUGUGCUCUCGCUGGCCGGCGGCGGGAGGCGGCGGUGACGGCGUGGGAAGAAUUUGAGCUCGCACGGCCCCAACUCGGGCUCAUGCGUUUAUGGUGGCCACGGCGGCGGUCGGGGAGCUCAGGGGCGACGGCAACGGGGUGCCAGGGGCCGAAGGGAAGCGGUGUGACCAACCCUAUGCGGCGGCGGCGCGAGGAGAAAGAGAGGACCCAGCCCUGGCCCGAGCAUGUCUGGGGCGGCCGUAGGGAGCCAAGAGCGGUGGCGACAACCUGCCGGGACGGCGGCGACCGACGGGGAUGGUCACCAGGGCUGGGGCCUACUGUCAGAGGUGGAGCACGAGGGUGUCGGGCCUCCCUGGCAGCAGCACAGGUAGAGAUGAGGGGAUGUGGUGCUGGAAACAAUAGAGAAGAGGGAGUAGGGCUGCUUUUCGGCGGUUGGCGGCAAGUGCAGGCGACCGGGGCGCACACAGCUGAGGCAAGGGAAAGAGGGGAAGGUGGCUGGGGCUCAGAAGAUGAAUAAAAGGCUAGAGUUAGCGUUUUCCAUAGAUGAAACCCUAGGUGCAACUUUUAUACAAAAGACCACUUUGCACUGAAGUCCUCCGAAACUAACUAUUUGCAACCUAGUCCUUCACAGCGCGAGUAAAUCGCGUGUACGCACCUCCACGUCCGAUCUCACGCGAUUCGGUACAUAAAAUAUAGGGGGUUUCGCGCGAGAUACAAAAAUACCAUUUUGACCUCUCCUCGAUAAUCACAUGAUAUCCGGCGAUCCGUCCAUCGGAUUUGCGAACGGAUCGCACUAAUGCGAUCAGCACGAUAGGGGCAUCAAGCUCACAAUUUUGUUUCGUCUGGUUUGGUCGCAGAUUUGCGACGAAAUCCAUCCUCUCACCAAUAGGCAAAUCCUACACACAAAUACAUAGAAAAUAUGUAUCUCCAGUUUCCUCGAAAACCGUGUGUCAGAUCUGAAAUCCAUCAGUGCCAAUGGUUCUAGAAUAGUUAGACCAUUAAAAACGAGCUAUUGGAUCACUAUGAAUGGAGUCCAAUACACACCAGAAGCCAUCUUCACUGAUUGGCCUCUUCGAAAAAUCGGAGUUACUAUUCACUUUAAGUGAUUAGUACAGGUCGCGUAACUUCUCUGUCACGCCCUGAGCUCCGCCAAUUUGGUCGGAUUCGAGCACGCGACAGACGCCGAACGGACAGAGCCUCCCCUGUCCGCCCAAGGCUCCAACAUUAAGUAUAUUACAAGCAAGUCAAACAAGAAUUGCGGAAUAUACAAGGUUUGCACGGGAGCAAACAACAACUACAGUGAAAGCAUCGAAACUAACUAAACAUCCAAUAUACAUGUCAUUUGAUUUCAUUUGAAUCAAACACAAGUAGUCUAUUACAUUCAUUUACAUUCAUUUACAUCACAAUUUUCUUUAACAAAAGGCAAAUUACAUCAUCUUUAUAUUACAUCAUUUUCAGCUUACUGUUUCAACAUACAAAAGUUGAGUACACCGAGUGUAGGGUAUGCCUAUACAAUUCCGAGGCCGCUAUCUACGGCGCGACUCCCUUGCCUCGAUCCUCCGCCGCCUCGCUCGCGUAUGGAUCUGCAGGGUUAGUGGUAAUGAGAACUAGAAGACGUUCCCAGUAGGUUCGGCCGCCGACCACGCCGAUUCGCCCACUAGGUCUAAUUCAGGAUAUGUAUUUCAAUAAAGAAGAAUAACAAACCAACUAAUGCACUUCUAAUACAAUGCCUGCACGAAAGCAAUCACAGAUAGAUAUUCAUAUUCAAAUACAUGAUAAUUAUGCAUGCAUGUCCUUUUCACUUUCCUUUGGCCUUUACCCAAUCAACCUGGGGUGUUCCUGGUUUACGCCAACUCACAGUCCACAUAUCCCGUCUAACGGGGGAGGCACAAGGCACAACCACCCGAAGGAUCUUUGCCGGGCACGUCCACCCGUGGUGCAUUUCUUCUCCGGAGUACACCGCUCGUGGAGGAGCGACCUCACACAAGCCGGAACCAAUACCUGUGAGUAUGAUCCCAUCCUCAAUUUGAGGAGGUAUGGCCAAUCUGUCACAAUUCUCACUGUCUUAAUGCCGAUGAAUGGUUAAUACCUAUUCAUGCACAUACUGUCACUUGCCAACGUCACGGUGGUCCUGAUGCCACAGUACACAUAAUGUCACUUGGGUUAAACCUCGUUUAACUAUUCACUUAUCGAUGUCAAUCGAGUCGUUUAAUGUCCAUGUCACCUUUGUUUACUACGGUCACAGUCAUUUCUUACAUUCACAUGCAUAUAGGGUCUUUCACUUUCCCUUUUCACAUGGUUCUAUAUCACUACAAUGAUCUUAAGCAGAUAAUUGUUACGACCAACACAUGCUGUUCAUUACCCUACAUGCAAGAAUGCUAUAAUACCAAUAAGCUCAAAUGAAAGGACAUAGACAUAGAAAGAGAUCCGGUGUUUCCGGAUAGCACCCCCCACCUUUAUGUGUCACAAGGAUGCCACGGUUCCGAUUCCACGAUUUUUAGACUUGUUCGUCGUGAGCUACGACGAUCUGUACUACUUCAGCUUGUUUUCUUAAUAUCUUCGCGCACGCUCGUCGUAUCGCCGAACCGUGCGCACUGAUGCGUUCGUAGACCUACCAAUUAGGUUAAAAUGAGAUCAAAUCCAAGUUUGAACCUCAAAAUUACAAAACCCUAAAUAUAGGUUCUCCACGAUGUCAUCUUCUCCAAUCAAGCCCCUAGCUUGACAAAACAUGGAGGAAAAUACUCUAAUCCAUCUCCUAGAAGCAUAUUAGAAGGAAAAAUCCAAACCCUAGCUCAAAACCCAUGAGAACUCACCUUGGGAGUUCAAAACCUUCCUUCAAAGCCUUGACCAAGCUUGCUCUUCACCUUGGAGAGCUUCUUCUCCAAGCUUGCUUCUCCAAAUCCCUUCUUGGUCCAAGCCCUAGAGAGAGAGGGAGAGAGAAGAGAAGGAUUUUUAGAAAGAGAGAAGGAAGGUUUGAGAGUGAGAGUGAGAACAAAUGAGUUCUCACUCAUGCCCUAGCCCAUAUAACCCCUCUCAUGCCAUAUUUGCAUUUAAACCCCUCAACUUUUCACUUUUGCAACUAGCCCUUACUGGACAUUUUCGAGCUCGGGGACCGGUCUCUCCCCUUCAGGGAUCGGUUCCCGAGAGCUACUCUACAACCUGUGCAGAAGGGGACCGGUCUCCCCCAGAUGAAACCGGUCUCCGGGGACCGGUCUCCCGCCGAAGGACCGGUUCCCGAGAGCUCGAUUUCCAGGACUUAGUCGAUUUUUCCCCUCUGCUCGGCUGAUCAACGUUCGGGAACCGGUCUCUCACCCAAGGGACCGGUCCCCGAGAGCAAAAUUUCUAGGAUUUCUCCAGAAUUGCAGUUUCACUCUCUCGGGUCCCUUAAUACUUCAUAUAUAGGCUCCAAUGAACUUUUAGCCUAUAGUAACUCAUUCCUUUCCGCGUUCCGCUCAUUUCAACGGAACUCGGCACGACUUACCGUGAUAUAUUACAUUCUCCAUCCUAACUCAUUUUCUCCUGAAACUUGACGAGUGUUUAUGUAAUUAAAUUACACACAAAAACAUCAUCAACACAGAGUUUAGUUACACAGUUAAAUUUUCAGUCCUCACAGAUUAUUCAUGCUCUAUACUACCAUAGAAGAAGAGCUUUGAAGGACGGAAGAUCCUUUAGGCCUCUUUCCCACUGGUGGAAAGGAGUUCUAAGUCUUACUGAAAUCUUCAAAUGAGGAAUAUACUAUAAACUAGGGAACGGGUGUACGAUCGAUUUUUGGUCGGAUCGUUGGAGUGGGGAGAGCUCUUUGCAGCUGAAUUUCCCGGAGGUGUACGAUGCAAGACCCUUAAAGUCAAGGAUUGUUUUGUUAGUUAUAUGCCCUAUAAGCCAAUCUUGUCAUAACUUAAAGGGUUAAUAUCAGUGUACUUUUCUUUUAUAAUUAAACCUGGCAUUCUUCAUUCAUAUUAUUGCCCAAUGCAUAUUUAUGAAUCGUCCAUAGAAGUAACAGUAGAAGAAUUAACUUUCUAAGAAGUUAGAAAUUUGAGACAUAUAUUCUUCUGUAAUUAAUUCUUAAAUGCUCCUGAUCAUAGGAUUAUUACGAGGGCGGUGGUAAAUCCGGAUAGAUUAGUGUAUGCUGUACUUCCUUUAUGGGAUGACGAGUCUCAAGUCAUUAGUGUGGUGACACUAGAGUAAGCAUACAGGUGAAUGUUGGAGAACAAUUUCACUGAGCGUGACCAACUAUGAACAAUCACAUGGAUGUCUACUUACUCGUUAGUGAAUUGUUCCAUAUUGUAGUAGUGUGAGUGAUCCUUUGACUUAAGGCACCACGGUUAUCUUGCGUGUGGGUUAUUGUAGUUUGACUGUGUAAAUACUUAUACCCUAAUCAUGGGUUAAGUCAACAGAUGUUGGCUGCAGUGGGUCAUACGUGGAGGUAGGUGUGUGUCAAGAUAGAAUCUAUCAUCCUCGGUAGAGAGGUAAUUGUCCUAUACUAUCUGUUUUACAAGAUAUAAAAGUCCUUGGCCAAGGCAGUAUGAUUUUAUGGAAAAGAGUUUCCAUAUUGUUAAUCAGAUGAGACAUAUGAUUGAGUAAUGGGGUUUGACGAGUAAUCCAUAACCUCGGCUCAUUCGGGACAAGUGAUAGAAGGAUUUUAUCACACGGUAACUACACCUAGAGGUUCUGUCUAUUGUUAAUUCUAUUUGGAUUGCCGCGAUAUACUGCUAGGUGUCACUCGUGGAUUGUGGGACCCAUGAGAGUAAUUAAGAUAGUUAAUUACACUCAGUUGGGAGAGCCAAAAAUAUUUUGGUCCAUCGAGAAGAGUUCCGAUGGUGACACUAAAAGAGUUUAGUGUCACAUUUCACUACCAGAUAGAAUUGAACCUAUGUGGUCACACACAAUAAAGGCUGCGUGUGAACUAGUGCUUGGAGAAUUAAUAGAGAUCAUUUUGCUAAAGUAGCAAAGUAAGAAUUGACUUGCUAAAUUGAUUAGCAAGAAGGACCAAUUUGUAAAAUUGAAAGUUGUAGAGUUAAACGCAAUUGUUGCAUACGGUGCACUUGCACUGAGAUUAUUAUCAUCUUUCUCUCAUCAACUCCUCAAUUAAUAAAGAUUAAUUGAGGAGUUAUGAAGUGAAAGGAGAAGAGAAUGAAAGAAACUCUGACAUUUAUUAGUGGAAGAGAAAACUUCCAUUUCACUUCAUUCUUGGCGCACUAAACGAGAGAAGACGAGUUAACUCUCCUCUCAUUUAUGACACCUCUCUCCAUAUUAUUUCUAUUGGGGAAAGAAAGAGUAAAAUGCUUUAUUAAACGAGCAGAGGGAGAAACGCAUUAUUUGUUGCGCAGAGAACAUUUCUCCGCCUCUUCCGUUUAUCUCCACAUGUAUAUUGCCUCACCUAUAAAUUGAGGCAUCUCUCUUUACCAUGAUAAUAAUCACAACGCAAAAGCGAAGAGCAAGAGAAAGAGAGAAAACUCUCCCAAUCAUAUAAAGCUCUCUUUUAAUCAUAAGAGAGAGGUCCUCCAAAAUAAUUAGUCUCUAUAGUUAAUCCUCUUGAAAUUGCUAGCACAAUUUGAGGAUUAAUUUUUCUCCACAUUGACACAAGAAAUCACGAAAGGAGUUUCGAGAUUACACUGUGAUUGUGUGAAGCACAGAUCCCGGAGCAGCCUUGUGUGGUUACACGUAGAGGCCGAACAUUUGUGCGGCUCAAAAGACUAGAAGUUCAGAUCCACAUCAACCAUGAAAUAAUUUCGGUAAUUUGCACAGGUUGAAAUUCGAACCCUUCUUCUAAUUAGGUUAGAAUAAUAAUUUUUGUGUGUCAUACGAGAUGAUCUUGGUACAUAUAUAUAUACUAAUAUCAUAAAUGUUAUGAUAUUAAAGAAUACAUGAUUUGAUCAUAUUUUAUAAAUGAAAAAAAAAAAAUUUAUUUCCGCUGCAUUAAAUGCACAUGUAGAUGCAUACAUUUCCUUACAUGUUUGACAAGUAACGACUGAAACUGGAGCAAGAUUCUAGGAGGCGAUUCGGUUAAUAGGCAGGGUUUGUGUUCUAGCUUUUUUGCAGUUAAAGAUCAGAUCUCUAUUUUCAAAGAAGGGCAGAGCCUAGACAAGAUUCUUUGGCGUUGGAACCCCGGUGGGCUUUUCACGGUAAAGUCGGCUCACUCUACACUGAGCGAUGGGGGUACGAGGGAUGCCCGAGCAAACAAGUUAUGAAGACUUCGAAUACCCCUAAAAGUGAAAGUGUUCUGCUGGCUCGUCCUAAAGAAGAGGCUCCUCACGGUGGAUAGCCUACUAAAUAGAGGUUGAGUGUGCUGUGCAGGACUGAAGUGGAAACCGUUCAUGAUCACUUGUUCACUACAUGCGUAUUUGCUAAAUUCAUAUUAGUGAUGGUCGUGGAGGAUGUUCAAUCUACGGAAUUGGGAGUUGACGUUAAUUCGGUCUGGGAUAGGUGGACGGGUAGGAAAGGUUCGCAACCUUUGUGUAAUUGGCUCCCGGAACUAGCAGCCUGUUGGUGGGUCAUCUGGGAGAGCAAAAACGAUACGAUCUUUAGAACGAUCCAGCUAGACCGCCUGAUAGCAGUUCACAAGGUUAAACAACUGUCAAAUUGUUGGGAACAACUACUUUCGGCUAAUCAGCACUUUUGUAAGUUGUAGUUUUUUUUUUUUCACCCAGCUAGAGGCCCUGGUUGCCUUACCCCGGUAGCCUAAUUCAUCUUUUCAAUGAAUGAAGCGGAUAGCACGCUACCUUUUUCUCAAAAAAAAAAAAAAAAUUGGGCGUUUUUAAUAAAAAAAAUUAUUAAUUGAGUAUUUCUUCUAAAUUAGAUCAUCUUUUCUUGAUUUUACAGAUUCGGGUCGAAUUUUUUAAAAAUUGACCAAAAUACAUAUAUUCUCUAUCUACUGGAUCCCUUUCUUUCUCUUUUCGCUUCUUCUGCUUCCUCCACUGCUCCCACGUCACUGCCACGCUCCACCCCAUACCUCGCCCACAUCUUUGCUGCCGCCAACAACGGCAGCGUGGACUGGAAUGCAACAUAGAUCAUGGAAGUGAGGGUAUGGGUAGUGGUUUAGUUUGUGGCGACGGAGCGCAGCAGGAUGCUAGAGCUGGAGAAGGAGGUAAGGAGAGAAAGGAGGAGAAGGAAGAGAAAGAAGAUGCCAAUAUCCUCCUCCUCCAUCCAAAGAUGACGUGAUGGUGUGAGAAAAGGGCGUAACUCAAUAGAUAUUGUCCUUUUCAUUUUGGUAGUCGACAUAAAUGUAUCAUUUUGGAUAUUGUAAAGAAAAAGAAAAAAAAAAUUGCUUAUUCUGGGUUUUAGUUAGAAACAUGUAAUGUAAGUAAUAAGAUAAAUGAUGUAAUAGAAAGUUUUUAAUUUAUGUCAUUAAUAUUCUCCUUAAUUGUGCAAACCAUAUAUAUUAUUUUUGAUUGGAAUGUGUUGUAUAUAUAGUUUGUGACGUCUUGGACUGACAAAAAAACUUUAUCUAUUUGGUGGGUCUGUGCAUGAGCCUAGUGAUGCUUCCGUUGUGGGCUCAGGGUAUGACACCAAGAGAUAGAGCUACAAGGUCUGUUCAGGAGUGUACAAAAGAUCUGUCAAAUGGAUAUAGUUUUUCUAUCUGCACUAAGCAGUCGCAUAACCUAACCCAUACAUCACAUACUAGUAUAGGCAAUAAGAAGCAUCAAAGUUGAUUACAAGUACUUUAAACUGUGACAAUUAAUAUCCAAACUCUUUCAUACAUGACCAUUUUCUUUUCUAAAAUAAGUUACAUUUGUCGACUCUCAAAAUAGUAUUAAUACUUAUCUCACUCUUUAGUUCUUAAAAAUAGUACUCUUUUAGACUGACUUGGGAAUGAUCUAUCUAGCUCGUGACACCAUUUAUUUCUAAUUAACUUCCAACAAUAUUUUAUUUUGGUCCUUAAAUUUUUAAUUUUAGAAUUACAAACUCAAACUCUUAAAAGAGUUUCAAUUUAGUUUCCAUGCAUAUUUUGUAUUGAGGGUAAUUAUUUACCUACACCCCGUUCACCCGUAUAUUUAUAUGUUAUGCAUCUACUAAUACUUGAUCACAUAAUAUAUUUCCAUUCUACAAUCCAUUGGAUCUUUAUUUAAAAAUUAGACCGAUAAGUUGAAAGUUUUAGUUAGAUAAAGAAUUGACAAAAUUUGUGGUGUACAAAUAUAAAAUGAACUAUGUGCAAGUAAUAAUUUUUAUUUCAAGGUGAGGACUAAAACGAAAUAUUUUUGUAAGUUUAGGGACUAAAAUAAAAUAUUUGAAGUUCAAUUGUAGUUGUUGAAUUUGAAAGUUUGAGGACCAAAAUGAAACUUGAGUGAAAGUUCGGAGACAAAUAGAGCAAUUUUUUUUCUUCUUUCUCUCUCAAGGGUUUAUAGCUAUUAGAUUUGCUAUAUUUGAGGGAAAACUUCAAAAACCCCCCCCUGUGGUUUCGUGCAUUCUCACUUUGCUACCCUGUGGUUUAAAACGUAUCAAUUUGCCCCCCUGUGGUUUCGUUUUUAUCUUUUUGUUAUCAAUUUUAUUAUUAUUAUUUUUUAAAAUCAGUGACAAAGUUAAAAUUAAAGGAUACUAAAGUGACUAUUCGAUAAAUAUAGAUGGUUAUCUGAAGUUUUUUGUAUAUAAUUUAACGAAAUAUUAAUGAAAAAGCUUCCGAAAAGAUAAAAAUGAAACCACAGGGGGGUAAAUUGAUACGUUUUAAACCACAGGGUAGCAAAGUGAGAAUGCACGAAACCACAGGGGGGGUUUUUGAAGUUUUCCCUAAUAAGAAAAAUGGACAAUUGCUUAUAUAUCUCUGAGAACUUUCAUACUUUCUUAUUUAUCAUGCUUAGAAAGCUAAUAUAAAUUAUACCUUUUGAACGUUUCAAGGUCUUUCAAAUAUAUCCCUAAAGUUAGAUUCUAUUAGUAAACUGUUAUGAACAGCUAUUAUCUCUAUAAAAUUAUUAUUUUGUCAUUUCAAAUAUACUCUUCUAUCAUCAUCAACUUUUUUAAUUAACCCUACCAUUAGCGGCAAAAGAGGUACUUUAUUUUUCGACCUUUCAAAUAUACUCUUCUGCCAUCACCAAUAACCUAUUUGUAAUAUAUUGAAACCUCGAGAACGAUUAUCGAACUUUAGCCAAAUUGGUUAAAGUAUCGAGAGAAAUGGAUGGACAAGUUCUAUUUAGCAUUCCAAUAAGGUUGGAAGGGCUAAAAAUGAGUUUAAGAGGUGUUAGAAAGAUUUUAAUAUCGAUCGGCGCGAAAUAGAAUCGAAAACAGCUGCAAAACAAGCAUUCUAGGCAAAGUGUACUAGUACAACCAUCGAGUUGUCACCGGUAUAGCUCUGCAGCCCGAAAAGAGUAAGCUCUCGGGUUUGAGAAAAAAACUGAAAGUGUACCAGUUAUCACUUUGAAAGUGUACCGGUAUAAAUGCUACGAAACCGAGAACUUUGCUCUCGGGUUGCCUCUGCGCAGGAAAUGUACCGGUACAAAAUCCCGUGUACCGGUACACUUUGGGUCUGACAGCAAAGUGAUAACUGCUGCAAUUAUGGAAAUGGGGAGGGUUUAAAUGCAAUUGUAGCAUCCUAAUAAGACCCCAAUACCUCUUCUCUCUCCCUCCCACAGCCAUUCAACCCUCCCUCUCAUUUCUCUUAUUUUCUCUCUCUAGAGAGCUCUCCAAAAAGUGGAUUUGGAGGAGAUUUGAAUGAGAAGUUUGGUUUUGGUGGCUUGGAGAAGAUCCAGGGCUCUCCUACAAGGUGGACCUUGGAGAGCUUUGGGUCAAGGUGAGGUUUUAUGAAAACCUAGGUUAGGGUUUGGGUUUAUGUCCUAGAAAACAUAGUUAGUUAAUUCGGAAUCGGCAAAAAUUCGGUACGGGUAUAAUUCGGAUAAAAUUUGUUUUUUAACUUUUAAAUUCUUUGAAAAAUACGGCUAAAAAACGGAUGUGGUAAUUAUUCGGAUACGUAAUUUAUACGGAUAUUAUACGUUUACCAAUUAAAAAUUCGGAAUCAAAAAUUCGGCUAUAUAAUAAAUAUAUAAUAAUUAAUAUGCUAUAUAUAUUAUUUUUAUGCUUUUUUAUAUAAAUUAAAUAUAUUCAAAAUUAUAAUAAAUAAAUAUAUAUUAAUAAUAUAUAAAAAUUAUGUAUUUAGAAAUAUUAAAUUGUAGUAAGAGUUAUAUGUAAUUAUUAUAAAGUAAAAAACCUGAAAAUACGAUGGUCAAAUAUGUUAUAUAAAAAUCAGAAUAUAUAAUCUUAAACAAAAAUUAUAUAUAUAAUAAAUAAAUUAUAUAUAUAAUACAUAUAUUAUUAUAUAUAUAUAUAUAUAUAUAUCUAGAUAAUAUAUAUAUAUAUAAUAAUAUAUAUAUAUGAGUCCAGCUAUGGUGCUUGUAAAAGCACCAAGCACUUGGUGCUUGUAAGUUUUUACCGUUAGAUCUACUCCUCGGAUUUAUUUCAACAAUUAGAUUAUACUAUUUAACCAACCACCUACUCAAUCCUAGGGGGCCCACAUCACCUAACCGCAUAUCUCUUAAUCCAAUGGCAAAAAUCUACAACACUAAUAACUUGAUACUUUUAAAAGUAUAGAGCUCAAUUCUAUAUAUAUAUAUAUAUAUAUAUAUAAUGAUUAAUGAGAGGGAGGUCCACGGUGGACCAGAGGGAGGUCGUGGACCUCCCUCUGGUCCACGAGGCCACAGGACCGCGCACAAGUAUGCUCAAAAGCCCCGAUUUUUUUUACUGUUUCUCUUCCUCUUUUUUCUGCGGACGGCGCGAGAGGGCAUCUCUCGUCGCGGCGGCUCUUGCUCCCAGUGCCGGCAAGGACAGCGGAGGAGGAGGAGGACAACCCGGACGGGUUCGGCGACGAGAGCAACGACGACAUGACCCUCGGCCGCUAAUCUGUGUCGACGAGCGCGGCGACGACGCGAGGGGCGAGCCUCGACCACGAAUCCGCGACCGUGAGUGCCUUUUUUUAGUCGAAUCAUUCGCGAAUCGCGGAUAAUUCGCGAACAAGUUUUUUUGAGAAAGAUUUGGCGUUUUUUUCCGAACUUUUCAGAAAAAUACGGAACGGGCCGUUUAAUACGUAAUUUUUAAAAUUCGCGUAUCAUUCGCGUUUUAAUCGCGAAUUAACUAACUAAGCUAGAAAACUAGGUUUUGAUCUUCUAAUGAGUAUAGAAAUCUAGUUGAAGCUAUAGAACACAUGAAACCCUAGUUUCUUCAAGUGCUCUAAUGGUGGAUUUUUAGGGUUUGCAUUCUAAACCCUAGAAAUGAUUUAGAUAGUUCUAAAUGAGCUUCUAGAUGUUGGACAAGCUCUCUAUUGCUUGUUUUAGAGAUCAAAACCUAGGAUUGAGCAAAUGGCAUUGUUAGGGCAUAGAUUUUGGGGCUUUUGCCUCCGGUUGUUUUCGAGAUAAAUUGACCUCUUGGAAAUCUAAUUAGGGGUAUUCCUGACGCGUGGGACAACUCCGUUUGACGUUACAAAAAGGUCUAAAUAAAGUUAUUGAGAAAAAGCCUAAUUUGGCUUCGUUUUGCCGCAGGCGAAAAAGUAGGGCUUCGAAAAUUUCAAGAAAUUCACCGUAGCACCCUUACAACCAUACAAGGUGGGUGGUGUAUACCGAAGAUCUCGGAAUUUCUUUUAUGUCUAAAGUGUCAUAUUUGAGCAUAUGUGUAUUGAGAAUAAAAAUUGCAUAGUACGGUUAUAUGUGAGUAUUUUAUUGCAUGUUGUGAGUACAAAUGCAUGUGAGUUAUUAGUAAGAAUGUGAGAAUUUUAUAAAUCCUAUUUAUGCAUGACAAGUGACAAGAACUUAGUGGACUUAGUAAACAAAGGUGAUAUCUUGACAUAGAGGUAGAAAGUGACAUCGAUGAGUCGAGAAUGCUAGAGUUGGAAUACUUAGAAAACAAGUGUGGCAUGUGUACAAGAACAUAGUAGUGUAUAUGACACUAGUGAAAGUAAAGAAUGCAAGUAAAAGUGUGAUAUUGACAUUAUUACAAUUUCAACCUUAGAGUUAAGGGUCAUAAGUGUAUUGUUUUCUUAUAGUUAAGGAAUAGAUUAAACUUGACAUCCUUAUAGUUAAGGAUUGGAUCAUACUCACCUGUAAGUCCUUGCUCGAGGGUGGUAGUUCCCCCUCGGGCGAUGUGCUCCGAAGUUGUCAUCACUGGGUGUAGUAGUCUCCCUAGAGGACGGUCCCGUCGGGUGUAGUAGUCUCCCGAUUUUUGGGAUUUGAGUUGGUGAGCCUAUUGUGGGCGAAACCUACGGAUUAGCCUAGAGAUUGGGUUCUGAGCAGUGACCUUGCAUUCAUCAUGAGUACUUUAUUGACAUAGCAUUAUUUAUUGUUCAGGCAUAUUAGCUGCAUUUGCUUUAACUUGGUUACUAUCUAUCUAUUCUUCUAUUAUACCUGAUUUAGACCUAGUGGGAAAGUCGGCAUGGUUGGUUGCCGAACCCACUGGGAACUUUGUUGUAGUUCUCACCCCACUAUUUCCACAGAGCCGGGACCGAGCGAGCCGGCGGACGACCGCGGUAAGCGCAUCACGCCCUAGAUAGAGACCUCCCGAGUGGGUUUCUAUUUUGUAGUUGCAUACCUUUAUACAUCACAUUUUUGUAUUUUGAUGACUAUAGAUGUUAAAGGAAAAGAACAUGAAUGAUGUAAAAGAUAUUUUAUAUUUAAAUACAAGAAUUUAUAUUUUGAGAUCAUGUGAUGUAAAAGAGAAGAAAUGAUGCAAAAAUAUAAUUGAUUUUCUAAGUGUAGUUUAUUACUUUUCCUAUUGGCUAUUGCUUGCCCUCGUGCAAGCCAUUGUGUAUGCUUCCAUUUUGUGCAAAAUUCAUACUCUAUUCAUACAGGAUGUUGAGCCUUGGGCAGACAGGAAAAACUUUGUCCGUUCGGCAUCUGUUCGAUGCGCUCGAACCGGACAAAAGGAUCGGGCUCGGGGCGUGACAUUAUUUCUCCUUAGUUAGAGACAAAAGGGGUUUUUUGACUUCUUUUUAACUUUGAUAGAAAUUUAAUCUGGGUUUAACCAGAGAUGAUUUAACGGGUACUAACAGCAGAAUUAUUUUUAAAUAAUGGAAAAAAAUACUAGAAGUAUAUUUGAAAAAAAAACAGGUGAGGUAUAUAACAAUAUUUCAGAAGUUUUGAGAGAUAUAUAAGAAAUUAUCCUAACGAAACUCAACCAAGAGAUUUCUAAGGAAUAAUGUGCUGACUAAAUUAGCUAUUAUUAAACUUUACAUUUAUGAAAUAAUUUACGCUUUAAAUUUCAAAGUGUAUACAAUCCUGUGUUAUAGUUUGAUUUUAGCUUACUAUCCUAUAAUCUUCAAUCAGUUUUAACUUUUCAUGCGAGCUUACUUUCAAGAAAACAUUUAUAUCUAUAUCUAUAUCUAUCUAUAUCUUUAUCUUUAUCUUUAUAUGAUUUUUCAAUAUCAGGCUGAUGUGGCAAGUCCUCCUUUUUUUUGGACUUUUCAAUUUUCUUUUUCUUUUUAUAAGCCGGCCUCUCUCUUUUCCCUUCUCCCACCGUACAUCCCUUCAUCUCCUCCUACCCUACCAUAUAUUUCCUUUAUCUUUUCCUUAUCUCACCGCACGUUCUUUCAUCUCCAACCCGCUCUAUUAAGAAAACCCCCAUCCCUCCAUCUCCCUCAUUCUCUCUUCCAGCAACUCACGUCCGCUCUCUUCUCCCAUGUUUUUAUAGAUUUCAAAUUAUUAUUAAUAAUUUUUAAAUACUAAUUUUUAUAAUUUUGAUUUGAUUUAAUAUAGAGAAAAAGUAGGUGAUGAUGAAUUGAAGAGCUAUGAAUCGAGUUCGCUUCGAAUGACAUUUUACAUUUUUAUGAAUUGAAAAAUAUUUUUUUCGUUCUCAAAAAUAAAAAUAUUUAUAUUUCUCUCCUAAUUUUAUUUUAUUUUAAUUGCUAAUUUUACUCUUAAAAUUUGGUUUUGAUGCAGAAAAGAAAAACCAAAGCCGGUUAUAAUUCGUCGAGUAAUAAAACCAACUCUAACAAAAUCACCUCUGAUUUUUUUUUUUCUUCUCUUUUAUUCUUGCAUUAAAUUAUAUUUUUUAACUCCUAUUUAUGCAACAAUUUUUAUUCGUUUAUAGUUUUUUCUUUUUGUUUUCUUUCUUUGUUCUCCAUUGAAUUAUAUUUUCAUUCUAAAAAAAUUUUCAAUAUAUUUUUUUAUUAUUAACCAAUCAAAUAUUGAUUAUUUUCUGCUAUAUUUUUAUAUUUUAUUUAUAUAUUUAAUUUAGAAUUUAUUAUAAUUUUUAUCCACUGCAUCGCCGGAUAAAAACACUAGUUGAUCACUAUGAAGAUGCCAUUGUCUAAGUGUCAAAUGGAGGUCAACUUCAAAACUCCCAGUGGUUUACUCCAAUUUGCAUUUUACCACUACUUUUGAUUGUAUAAUGCAACACUUUGCUAUUUUUCAAUGGCACAUCCUGUGACUAAACGGAGAGCAACAAGCAAGUUUAGUGCUGAAUUUUGAAAUUCUAAAUAAUGGGCGUACAAUCAACUUACGUACACUAUGGUUCGCGUGUUUCACCCACCGAAAAUUUAGGUUAAAAUGGACUUUUGAUUGAACUAGGAUUUAGAUAAAAAUUAUUUGUCCUGCUGUAAAAGAAAAGUCCCUUCAAUUCUGCUAUUUAUUUAGUAGGAAGUCAAUAACGUAAAAACUAUUUUUUUUUUUUACCAUUUAUAUUUAUUUUACUGAAAACUGGCGAAUCCUACAUCUUCGGUAAACUUAUCUUCGUAUACCUCUCUUUUCAUACAGCACGGUCGGCUCUUAUAUUACUUGAUAAAUAAUAAAAAAUAAUAUAAUUAUAUCCUAUAUAUUAUAAUUUAAAACAAUUGAAUUAAUUUUUUCAUACAUAAAUUUAUAACAAUGCAACAAUAAAACGCUGAAAAGAAAAAGAAUAUUAAUACUCAAUUAAUCAAUUUUUUUAUAAUUCAAAUAUGCAAACUAAAUAAAAGAAAAAUUAGUACAACAACUAAAUAUAUUUAUAUUUGAAUGAAAGAGGUGGUAAUCAUAUUACAAAAAUAAAUUUUCUUUUGCGAUAAUUUAUUACUUUUUUUCCUCACUUCUCUUUUUUGUAAUUGACUUCAGCCUAGGGUAAGACAGAGUCUAUUAUGUUAUUUUGAAAAACAUGAGUUAUGGCUGUAUUUAUAUUGCAGUGAAUUAAACAACAAAUUGAUCGUUUACGAUCCAGAACCCACUUUAUCCCUCUCUAUUUUGGACGAAACAAAUAGACUAGGAAAAUCUUUUCAACUCUUUUUUUUUUUCUGGGCAAAACUAACUACAGUUUAGUAGGAUGACUGAUUGGAAAGAAGUUAAAACUGUAGUUACUCAAGUGAAAUAGAUCAAAAUUUGGUGAUUUAAAUAAAAUUUUAACACAAGUUUUGGCCAAUUUUAUUAAAAAAAGAAAAAUGCGUUGGAUAUCUUCUAUAGGGCGGCCUCUAUUAUCAUUCAUGCUGCCACAUGAUAGAUUUUAUUUUUAAAAUUAAUGUGCGAGUACAAUUUAUUUAGUCCGAAGAAACGUCAAUUAGGGUAAGCAAAAGAGUAAAGCCGUCCUAGUGAAAAUUUAAAAUUAAAAUUUAAGGUAUCAAUUUCAAUAGAACGUAUAAAUGAAGGACUUAAUGUAUUUUCAUCCUAGUAAAAAUUCUAGUCGUACUGUUUUCUCUUUUUCUAUUUUUUUUAUUUUACUUUGUUUUUUAAACUCUAGCUGUUUACUGCUUAAAUCUUUCUUUUAAACGAAUUUUAUUUGACUAUGUGCAACUAAUCAGAACGCGAAUUUUCUAUAGCGAGAGGUUUAUGAUUUAUCCAUAAACUGUUUAAUAAAGUAUAUAAAAAAUAUAUGCAUACGGAUAUCCGUAUCCGAUUUAGAUCCGACCCGUACUCGAUUCAUACUCGGUCUUAAACGGAUAAUAUAUGAGCAGUCGCUAUUCAAAUCUGCUCAAAUAGAUCGAAUGAAUAUAUUAUUAACUUAAGUGUUCGGAUGCAGACUUAAUUUGAAAUUAAAUAGGUAGGGUAUAUAUAUUAUUUUUUAUUUAUGUUUUUAAAAUAUAAAUAUUGUAAAUCAACUAUUGAGGCUGGAUCGGGUCCACGGACCCAUUUACCAAAAAGCAUUCCCCUCAUGACUCAUGAGACUAGUAAAAAGGCACGGAAGAUGGCACGAAGGAUGCGUACAAAUAACCAACGCGUACGGACACCCUUUCUGUGUAUAUUCCCCGUUUCAGAGCAGCUGAUUACGAAACGCCCCUAUAAAAGCGAGGAAUAGGAUCUUCCCCAAGAUCCAAAACAUAGAGAGCAGAAGCUGCAAAGAAUAUUCCUCCCUUUUUCUCCUCCCAGUUCUGAUGAGACUGGAGAUGCAAAAACCACCACCACCACCUCCUCCUCCUCCUCCAUCUCACCAUCUGGAGGAGGAAGAGGAAGAGGAAGAGGAAGAGGAGGAAGAGAUGGUGGCAGAGGAGGAGAUGGAAAUGGCGUCUCCCGAAUUCGUCAGCUGUGACGGCGCCGCCGCCGGCGGAGGAGGAGGAGGAGGGGAGCAGCAGCUGUUUGUGCCGCCGCUCAACUUCGCGAUGGUCGACCACGGCGUCUUCCGCUCCGGCUUCCCCGGCGUCGACAACUUCGGCUUCCUUCACUCGCUCCGCCUCCGCUCUGUCCUGUCAGUAGACCACAAAAAAAAAAAAAUCUAAUCCAUGGCUGCUGCUCUCUUUAUAUAGAGGUUUAACUUUUGAUUUAUUUAUGUUUGUUUAUUUUUGGGGUGUAGGUGUCUCUGCCCGGAGCCUUACCCGGAGGCGAACAUGGAGUUCCUCCGGGCGAAUGGGAUCAGGUUGUUUCAGUUUGGGAUCGACGGAGCCAAGGUUGGAUUCAUGGUUUUCUCCUUCUCGCUCUCUUCUUAUAUGCGCAACUUUCGUUUCCGAAGCAUUUGCACAAAACGAAUUGUCGAAACAUCUGUUCUGUUUGGUUCCGCUUUCGCUUCCGCCUUUAGCAUCCGCGGACAAAUAGAAGGGUCUGCCGAAAAGAAAUGAGAUUCAAUUUUGGUGCUUUUGAUUCCGCUGCUGCAGAAAGAAAUUAUUAGAGGGCAUUUUAGAAGAAACAUAAUACUAGAAACCAACUUUAACAAAUUCUCUUCCAAAUUGGAUCCAUUUCUUCUGGACCUCAGAAUCUUAGUCAGUUUUUCUACGUCCCAAGCGUUCCGCCGGAGGUAGCUGUUGCUGAAAGUAGAAGCAGAAGUGGGACCGAACAGACACUACAUCGUAAUGUUUGUAUAUAUAUAUAUAUAUAUAUAUAUAUAUAUAUAUUUCUUUGCUUUCCUCUAUUUGAAAAGAAGUUUCCUACCCAAAACAUUCCAUAAAUGUUACUUUUCUUGUCCAAUAUCUAAUCCUUAUCUUAUCGUGCUAAGUUACGUUAGCUACGUUCCAACUUUUUUUUCUUCUUAUGUUUAUCGUCUCUUUCUAAUGAUCAGGAUCCAGUCCAUUCCAAUUAUAUAUUCUUUGAAACCAGGUCUUGCUCCCAAUGAUAUUUAUCUUUUCCGAAUCGAACGGAAUUAUGUAACAUAAUGUUUCGGGUACGAAACCUACUCCGAUAUAGUUGUAGCCGAUUUUUCUACAGGAGAACUCAAAUAGAUAAGACCUUAUGGUUGAUCUUUCUUCUGAUCCAAGCUAACGUAAAAAAAAAGAAAAAAAAUAAAAGCUUUACUAACUGAUUCAAACGUAGAAAAAUUUCAUUGCUUAUGCGUUCGUUUUUCUGCAUACAUAUCCUUCCUUAUCUGCUGCUCUUUUGAAUAGCCUUUUGGGUGUCUUACAUACAGUUCUUAAAUGAAGAGCUGUCUUUUAGAUGUCAAAUUUGCAUGUUUACCAGUACCUUUCCAUUCUCUUAAAAUUUGCAUAAAAUUGGUCAUUUAAUGGUGCUGAUGCAGAUUUAGACUUCUCAUUCUGUUGCUUUCAGUGAGUAUUUUAUGUUAUUUAAUUUUAUUUUUUUGAAAUUCUAGGCAAGUUUCAAAAUUUCUUGAGCGUAUUGAUCAUUCACAGCCGUGCUUUUCUAAAGGGCUACAUAGCUGAAGUAUUAUUUUGUUAACAUUAUAAAAGUAAGAAAGUCUUGAAGUACUAACUGUUAGAGAUUUAUCAGAGAAUCAAUUUUAUUUUAACUCUACCAUCAAUAGUACGAACAGUAGAUGUGAUUUUUAGCAUAUUAAUAUGGUGUGCACGAAAACAUUAGGCUCUUAGGAGAGCAUCUAGAUGUUAAAUGUGCAGUCUCUAAUUCGCGUACAUCGUACUAUUUAGCUGUUUUUAUCUUAUUCACUUGUUAGCUCUAACUGAUGGGAAUAUUGCUUUGUGAUCAUGUGUCAAAACUUCUAGGUGAAUGUAUUACUUUGAUUGUCUCUGAUCUUUUAAUAAGCAACAAAUGCUACAUGCAAUAUUUGGCCUACAAUUGUUAAUGAAAGUAUUCAGAUUGAGUUCUAAUUGGAAAUAGGAGGAACAUGAAUACAGCCCUAAUUGUUCUUUGGAUGACAUGGGGUUUCUUUAGAUCUCAGUGUAGUUCGCUGAUUGUGAAAUUGGGAAGCUUGGUUUAUGCGAACGCAAUAUGUAAAUGCACCACAUAGCAAGGUUUAAAGUGCUACCCUGUGUCGUACGGCACGGGGCGGCACGUGCCCUGCACGAUACGGGGGGUCUCGAACUUCCCUCCGUGCCGCGCAGCACCGUGCCGGACGAGACAGAGCGGUACGGUGCAACGUGCCAUGGCACAGUGCCAUGCUGGCACUAUGCUUUUUUUUUUUUUUUUUUUUUUUGCUUUUUGUUUCUUUUUUUUUUUGUUCUUUGGGGUAUCCAAAGUAUUCUGGGUACCCCACGCCCCACCUCCAAAGAUAUUGCAAAUCGAAAAUUUAUUUAUUAGGUAAGUCAAAAAAAUUAUAAUUUAUAUUUUUUGUUUAUCAAUAUACGGACAAAAGAUUUGUCCGAGCCCUCCAUUUCCACUGUAGAUAUCUAUUUUUUCUUUACAAAUUAUUUUUAUCAAAAUUUGUCGCACCACGAAAUUUUUGGCGAAUUAAGGGAAUAAAAUCGAACUCAAUAAACAAAUUUUGAGCCAUAUCAAACAUAAAAUUUUAUUUUUGCGCUAGAAGAUUGAAAAUACUGAUAAAAUUAAAAGCUAAAUUAAAUCAAUUGAUACUUAAAUUAUUUAAUUUAUUUGUCAUAUAAUUUAUUGCUUAAUUUUUUUGAUAGAUCUACUAAUUUUUUGAAAAAAUUAAUUAAAAAAAAUACUUUUUUUCAAAUACUUUUUAAAAUAAUUUUUUUCAAAUAAAUUUUUUUUUGUAUUUUAUAAAAGAAAGACUAUAAUAUGGUCAAAAGAAACAAAGAAAAAAAGAUAUCUUUGCAUUUUAAAAAUUCUAAGUUGUAAAAAUUUUUAUUCUGCAUCAGUAGGUAUAAUUGUACUUUACAUACAAAAAAAAUUACAAAUAUAUUAAUUGAUGAGUUUAGUAAGCUAUACAUAGCAAAUAUUCAUAAUUAUUUGAUUAAAUCUUUCAAAUAAUAUUAUAAGAGCUUAUUGGAAUAAAAAAAAACUGAAAUAAGUCCGUGCUAAAGUGUGUCAGUAGGAGGUCGUGCGUAUCCAUCGGCACGCAAGCGUACCAUGUGUCGGCAUGCAAGUGUGUCGGUGCCGUACCGUGCCAGGCAGACAGCGGCACGCCUCGGUGCCACGGUACUUUAAACCUUACCACAUAAUGUUAUGGUUAUUCCAUGUAACCACUUAUUCGAGAUAUUUAAAUAUCUUAUUAGUUUUCAGGUAAAUAUAGUCAAAAGAUCUCUCUUGUGGAUGUUUUUUUUAUACAAAAUAGUGGUGGGGACUGCUAACACUAAAGCAUCUUGCCAGAUGCUUCUCCGGUUGUGAUUUCUAUCAUCAUUUUGAAACAUCCGAAGAGGAAGCUCUACAGGACCUUCAAGAUUUUUGAAACCUUUCAAAACAUAGAAGUGAGUACAUUUGAACAAUGCGUUCCUGAACUACACGUAGCUAGUUUCUACUUUAGUUUAUGGAGACUAAGGAUUCGACAAGUGGCAUAGAAUUUAAGGACGGCAAGCCCUUCUAACUGAUAGAUAUGUGUCUUUUCUAGAUUUCAUAGAAUAACUUUGUUGUCAGGCAAAGAUGAACUUUGCUGUAACUCACAGUACUUUCUGACAUAACCUGUCUUUAAAGUGCAACCAUUCAUAUUAGGAAGAGGAAGGACUUUGCUUCUGACAAAUUUAAUUUGUGAAUUUCAACAUUUGGCUAUUGGAACGAGGUGCCAAGUUUUGUGCUGGGAGCAACUCUCAGUGCUCUGUAUGAAGCAGAAUCAGCUUUUAAGGCAAUCAUCAGAAAAUUACUGUUCAUCCAGAAAGAUUUCCAGCUCCUUACAAUUUAUACUUCUUUCAAAAAAUUUUGAGGAUCACUUACUGAAUUCUCCUUGACCAUAAAACAUUGUUACUCAUGGAACCUAUGUCAACUUUGUGCAGUUUCAUCACCCAUAUUUUGUAUCGAUUCUGUUGUUUUAGUUUUUAUAUCACUGUCUGUUUGCAGCUGUGACAUGUUUAUUUUGAAGUGACAACAUCAGUUGCUGCUGUUUGUCUUUUGUUGGUACUUACUGGCAAAAGAGAUUGUUUCCCUCUUGUGUCUAGAUGCUAUAAUGAAAGGGCCAAACCUUUUGUUCUCCCUUUGGAAGAGGACUAACAGCAGAAAACCAUGGUAACAGGCCCUGUACCGGGAUGACUCAGUAUGUUCGGCCUAACCAUAUGAUCUCGAUUUGGAUUCCGGUCCAUUAGUAUUAGGGUUAGCAAUAGACAGUGAAGGUUAGUUAUCUGUCAUGUUAGAUCAUUUUAUUCACUUGCUUUCACAUUGUCAAUCUGAACUUACGCCCUUGCUUAAUGGGACCCUUUGCUUGUCAACCUUCAUUAGCUACAUCAUUGAGUAAAUUAUUAUUACUCCAAGGAACUUAGCUUUUUGAUCUUCAUCUUACCUAUUCCAAGUCAUUCUCAUACAACAGCAGCAAGUGUUACAAACUGCAAACUCGCAUGGAGAAUCCUUGAUUAUUGCUAGAAAGAAUCGGUUAAAGUGGUUUCUGACUGUCUUUCCUACAUGUGUCAAGUUGGCCAGCCAAACUACUAGAUAUCUUACCUAGUCAUAUGAUAAUUGCUAUCUUAUCCAAGUUUGGCUGCAGCUCCAGCCCAAAACUGAUCGCAUGAUAAACACAUGAUGCCACACACACUCUCGCACAGAUACAAGGGGCCAUUAACCCAAGAGGAUGGUGAUGGAGGGGUGUGGAGAGAGAUCGAAGUGGUGGUUAUGAUGAAUUCUUUAUGAAUAAGUAAGUGGACAAUAAAGAUGAAUUCUUUAUGAAUAAAUAAGUGGAGAGAGAUCGAAGUGGUGUUGUAAUUGUAUCAUCUUUAUUGUUUAUUAAUAUAAAGUCUCUUCUAUAGCAGACCUGUAGGCACUCGAUGAAUUCACAAAUGUCGAACGAAGCUAAAAAUAAGAAACAACACAUUGAACAACGUUUUUUACAUGCAUCUCAGUUAUAUUUUGGCGAAGUGAUGAUUGAAUUUUACUGAUAAAGACAAUCAAGAUGCUGCAAAUCGAUCCUAGAUGCCGAGGGAGCUGCUAAUGUGCAACAUCUGUUCUUUUGGUGUUAGAUCUUAAUUGAUACACAGCCAACAGUUUGCUUUUUCUCUAUCUGUUUUACCUAUGCAUGUAUUAAACAUAUAUGCCCCUACAGGAACCAUUUGUGAACAUUCCAGAGGAGACAAUUCGCGAAGCUCUCAAAGUCGUUCUUGGUAUGUGGCACACAUUAUCUAUUUCACUCCUUUGUCAGAUUUUGGCUUGAGUAAGUUGCAAAGACUUUACACCAACUACUAAUCUCUAUUGCAGAUGUUCGAAAUCACCCGGUGCUUAUUCACUGCAAACGAGGAAAGGUAAAAAUUUAGAUUCAAUUUUUUUUUUUCACCACUAAUAGUGUUUGUUAUAUAUCAGAGCUCAAUUUUGUUUUUAAACUUUAUUAUUUACCUGUCCAGCAUCGAACCGGUUGUGUGGUAGGAUGUUUGAGAAAGCUUCAGAGGUGGUGCCUCUCUUCAAUAUUUGACGAGUACCAGCGUUUUGCCGCUGCAAAAGCUAGGAUUUCUGAUCAAAGGUUCAUGGAGCUGUUUGACAUCUCGAGCUUAAAACAUUUAUCGGCCACAUUUUCAUGUUCCAAAUGCCCAUAGAUGGUUUAGGGAAAACCGCCUUUUUCGUUAUUAGCGGAGACUUCAAGUUCUAAUGAUAGUCGGGAUCUAUCAAUUCCAUGAACAUUGCAAUAAAAGUAGAGAAGAAUUCUUUUUACUUGCAUACCAUGAUUAUGGAAGAAGAUACUCUAUAGGAUAUACUGUGGCAGUUUUAAAGCCAGCUUAUGUGAGCCUUUUCUUUCAAAUGCAAGUUUGUUUGGGUGUUUAGCCAUUUAUGAAGAAAGUAUGAAGGGAUAGUGCAAUUUGUCGUCCAUCAAGGACAGCUCAUGAAUCUUAAAGCAGUAUGAAUGGUGGAUUAGACGGUCUCACUGAAUGGAGACUCGUAGAAUCCCUUUUUCUAGUAAAGUUUUGGAGUUGCGCUACGCUUCUUCGAGAGUGCGGUCUACAAGAGAAAGUUCUCUAUGGGAUCUAAUUUGUUUUGUCCGGUGCCAAAAUAAUGUUGGGCGAUUGGUUUAAAAAAGGAAUCGAAAUAGGAAUAAAAAAAACAAAAUGAUGAAAAUUCACAACUUUUCUUUUAUUUUGGUCACUGAAAAAAUCAUGUAGUUGCUUAGCUGGCAGUUACACGGCGUUUUCGUCAAAUUUAAGAACUCUUUUAAUGACUGAGACUUAAUUAUAAUAAAAUGAAGAGCUUGGAGACGUCAAUGCCAAAAAAAAAAAGCAAUGCUAUAUAUAUGUACAGCCGAAUGCAGGUGUAUAUUUUACAUUCCACCCAUCCGAUGGGUGAGAUGCUUUUACUGGUCACUCCCACCAUUAAUAUAGAUGUGCAGGGCAUAACUUGUGGUAUAAAGUAGCUUUGCUAGUGGUACACUCCAAAAUAGAAUGCAUAUCUUACAUUUUCAUCCAAGAGCAAUUAUUUUUUUUACCUAUCACAUUAAUUUUUUUUUUUAAACUACAACUAUUUGAGUUUUUGUGAAUUUUAUGAUAGGGAGUCUAAAAUCUAGACCUCCCCUUUUGGGUUAUGUAAAUAGAUUUUGUUUUUGGAGAGUAAUGCUAGUCCUACAAUCAUUUUGAGUUGAAAGCUUACAAUCCCACUCAUUCAUUAAUAGCUCCUAUUAAUUUCUCUAUACCACCGUUUGGUUGGGGGUUAAGGGGUGGAAUAACCCCUUAACCCCUAAUUUAUACCCAAACACUAUUCUUAAGGGGUGGGGUUUACUAACCCCACCCCAAACCGGGUUAGUGGGGUUUACUAACCCCACUCCCCCUCCCAACUUUAACCCCGCACGCAUCCCGAGCCCUCACCUUUUUCUUCUUUAUCAAUCAUUAACCCCAUUCCCCCUCCCAACUUUAACCCCGCACGCAUCCCGAGCCCUCACCUUUUUCUUCUUUAUCAAUCAUUAACCCCACUCCCCCUCCCAACUUUAACCCCGCACGCAUCCCGAGCCCUCACUUUUUUCUUCUUUAUCAAUUGUUAUUUUCUUAUCCCACCUACUCCAACCAAACACUUUUUUUCACUAUUUUAGACUAACUCCAACCUCCAACCAAACACUAUGGGUUUCAUAACUUGUUUUUUGUUCCUUCUACGAAAACUCCAAUGGGGUCGGCAACCUCUUUGGAUUGUAGAUUUAGCAUUUCUCUUUUUCAUUUUUUUUGGGUUAAAGUGGAAAUAAAGGUUUAUGGGGAAUUUCUUUAAGUAACCAACUGGGGUUUCCUCUCAAGUGCAAUCUACAUGCAAUAUUGAAGCUUUUUAGAAGUAUCAUUUGAGUCCGUAUGAAUUGUUGCAUGUGCACAGUAUAAGAUGUAAUGGAUUUCGUCAACUUUAUCAUAGGAAAGUGUAGAUUCAGUAGGCUUUAUCUGUCCAUAGCAAAAUGAUAAAUUGCACUAUUUGUGCCUAAACUUUAAGUUUCAUUUUGGUUCUUAAACUUGUGAUUUUGACAUGUUAGACUUCAAACUUUUAAACAAAGUUUUAGUUUUUUAGUCCCUAGAAUAGUUGCUUGUGUACCUAAUUCAUUUAUUUGUUCAUACAUCAUGCAUUUAUUGUUACUUCAUUUAUCUCGUACUUUUAAUUCAGAAGUCCAAUUUUUAUAUAGAGAAACAAUCAUAAUUUAAGGGGUGGUUGGAUUUAAAUAUGCAGUAAAAAAGUAGCAUGGUUGAUGAAUGCAGGUUACACAGAUGUACAAAUGCAGUGAGUGUAGACAAUAAUUUAUCCUCUACUAGUAUUUAUAUAUGAGGACUAAAAAGAAACUCUUAAUUAUUAGAGUUUAGAAAUUACUAACACCAACCAUCUCUAACGCAAGUGGCAAAAGAGCUUGAUGGUUGGUACCCGAGACCCAAGUUCGAAUACUAGUUGAUUCACAUUUCCAGCUAAGUUUAUUUCUAAAUAAAAUAAAUGAAGUAGGUAGCAUGCUACCUUUCUCUCAAAAAAAAGAAAAUUGCUAACGUUGAACUUGAAUGAUCAAGGACCAAAAUAUAAUUUGUAUUACAGUUCAGGGACUAUGGGUGCCAUUACCAUAGCAAAAUGACAAAGAAAAGUACUAAAAAGAGUUAGUAAUCUCUGCAACUUCUCAUCUGAGAACUGUAAAAUUUAUCAAUCUCUUCUGAUUUUUAACUAAAAAAAAAUGAAAGAAAGUGACAGGACUCGUAAGGAAAAGAUAAUUUUGAAAUAGUAAAGUUAUAAAAUUACAAUCUAAAGUGAGCGAUAUCUUCUUUUUAUAAAGUAAAUCGACUUCGAUUCUUAACAGAACUCAACUUACCCUCUAUUUUUAUGCUUUUAGUGGGCCUAGUAUUUCUGGCAGUUGCAAUGGCUUUUUUAUCUCUGUAUUUAUUUUCAAAAUAAGUACUAAAGUAUUGAUAAUUUUUUUCGCUAUCUUUUUUUAGAACCGCCUAAGGUUCCAACUAAAAAAAUGAAAUAACUUUAUAAUUUAAUUAGUGAAAAUCAAUGAUAGAGGAAGUUAUCCUCAAUUUUCCCUCUCUCCUCUCUCUCUCUCUCUCUCUCUCUCUCUCUCUCUCUCUGCCUGCCUAUGACAAGUCCAAACUAACAAAGCAAUAUUCCAACUCAUACGCAUGGGUGAACCUUUUCCGUUUUUGCAGCUAAAGCAAUUAAAACCGUAUCCGUCUCUUAGUGGCGUGAGGCAACAAGAGAGAGAGAGAGCUCACAUAUUUCAUGUGACCCACUAGCCACCACAUCUCCCUCAUAUUUAUAUAACUACAUACCCAUAACAACAUUUUGUUAUCACCAUUGGAUAAUAGUAUAUGGCACGGAAUGUGAUCAUCAAGUACGCAAAGAAGCUCAAGAGGAAGAUGUUUAGUUGCUACAACGCGGAGACUUGUACUACUUCGUGCCCCGUCUACUGCGACGAGCUAUUUCGCAAAACCGCGACUAGUUACCGCACCGACGAUCCCGUCCUCUUAGCUUAUAUAACUGCGCAGAAGAACUUCCGCAUCCAGCCGAACCGCUUCAUGUAGACGAUUAUCAUGACAUGUGCAAAUGUGCUCUAGUAGAGACUAUAAUUGUAAUCUUUGCUGUUGAAUUUUUCUUCUUUGUUUCUUUUGCACAACUACAUAUAUUACACUUCUCAGAAAAGGUUAAGGAAUGAAAUAAGCGGAUCGUAGACGAGUUGCUUUGCGUUGACGGCCAUGACGAAAUCGCCGUGCGCGUAGUUUUGCAGGAACCGAACCUUCAACUUGGUCUUGUGGUGGCACUUGAGCAUUUUCAGUAGGUGCCUGACGUCGUUGCUAUCAGAAAGCGCGUCCCGACCGCCAUAGCUGAGGAACAACGGGAAGUUGUUCGGGAUGUUUGACAUGUUGUAGGCCGGAGGAUGCGCUUGCCCGUAGUGUUUCAUGUUCUCUUCGUAGCUGUCGUAGUCGUAUUUCGCGAUCGUCCCUCUCCGUAUCACUGGUUGAGAAAGAAUUUCGCUACCGAUCUUAUAGUUAAAUGCGAUUAAAGAGCGAAGAGUACUAGCCAGAGGAAUUAACUUACUCUGCGCCAUGUGGAUCAUGUUUUUCAUAGCAGUAGGUUGGGGUUCGUGGUCGAGAAAGACGCGCACGGAGGAAGGAUUAAGGCAGCAAUUUCGACCUCAAAUUGGAAUAGGAUAAGAAAAAAUUCUCAUUCAUGAAAAGUACAUUGCUAAUCAAUUUGAAGUGUUUAAAAUGAAUUUAUAUUCGAAAAGGUUUAGAAGGAGAAGAACCUGUGAAAGAUGUUAUCAGAUCAUAGCAAUUAACACCAGGUUGAUUGCACACUUGUAAAAGAAGUUCGUCUCCGGAUCUCCUGUUGCAUAAUUUAAGCAAGUCAAAUAGUAUAAGAGAUCCACGCUUCGAUAAAUCAACAUGUCGACAAUCCAAACAUUACCGCUCAUUCCUAAUUUCUUCUUCGCAGAACCAUUAAUCUUCAAAUUGUUCAUUCGAAUAUUGUUGUGGAUAUCGUGUACUUCAUUGUUCUAAUGUGACUAAAACAGAAAUAGUUAGAAGGGGACUCACCCAAUAAUAUUGAACUCAUGAAGACCAAGCCAGUAAGAAACCUGUGUAACAUGUCAAAAAAUGCAAUAGAUCAAAUAUUAUUCAAGUAUUCUUCAAUUUGCUUUGUAGGAUUGGAGUUAGUUUACUUCGCCAACGAAGGCAUCAGCUGAAGCCCUAGCAAUGCUGGAUGUAAUCUGAUCCAAAAAAGCGAUUGGACAUAGCAGGGCGGCAGACCGUAUCAUGUCUAGUAGGCGAUGCUCGCAAAAUGAUGCGAGGGCCAUCAAAGUUCCCUGGCAAAAUAGAAAAAGAAAAAAAAAAGGAGAAAAAAUCAAGAGUGUUUUUGUAAUUUGNUUUUUUUUUCUCUUAAGUCGCUUACUAGUCUUUCUUGUCGGUUGUGCAUUAAAGGUUUCUUUAACUCGUUUUUAUUAAUUCAUACCACAAAAACAACAAGUAUACAUUAUAAAUAUACAGUAUUCUUUCUCAAGAUGUCUCUUAUCAAUCUUCUUUUUUUUUUCAUGUAUGUGUGUGUGUGUGUGUGUGUGUGUGUGUGUAUAUAUAUAUCUGAAACACCUACUAGAUAAUCCUACACGGCAUUAAAGUUCACACAAAAGUACUAAGCCAACGUAGAGUAGCAAAUAGUGAAGUUAUAACGUAUCAUAAACCGUACGUAAAUUUAAAACCAUUAAAAAGUCAUAGUAAACAGAGAGUUUGAACAACAGAUUCAUACUAGCCGACUUAAAAUUUUAAACCACAUAUUACUACUAGAUUCUGAGGACUUAAAUUCUAAACGCCAUGAAUACAGGAAUCAGAUUUAUCAUUAAUAUUACAAAUAUCAUUUCUUUAACGUAAAUGAAAACUAAAAAAAUCGGACAACCUAAAUGUUUACACAGCCCAAAUGAGAAUUUUAACACCUAAAACUCUGGAAACCUAGUGAUCGGUUCACCACAGCUUAUUAACAUUUUAAAUGAAAGGUUCACAAAUAAUUAACACAACUAGUUCAGAUUGUAUCGGGUAGCAGCUAAACCUACGGCGUAAUAACAAUGUCCCGUUGAACAAUCGGUUGCCGUUCACGGAAACAAGAUGGAAAUAAUCAAUAUAGUAAGAAAUAGCUGAGAGAAAAAGGUAGAAUAGAAAGUUAGAGAUGACGGUAACUCAAGAGUAAGAAAGAAACAUAUAUAUAUACAUACAUUAUAUAUAUAUUAUUUUCUUCUUAAUCAUCUCAUACCUAUAGAUAUAUAUAUAUAUGUUAGCUCUCGGACAUGCCACAAGAGGGGCGCAAAACGCCCCCGGAGCGCGCUCUCUCUCUCUCCCUCUCUCUCUCUUGUCUCCCUCCUCUCUCUCUCUCGUAUGUCUCUCUCGCCCUCUCUCUCUCUUGUCUCUCUCUCUCUCUCUCUCUCUCGUCUCAUCUCUCUCUCUCGAUCCGCACCCCCUCGACGCGCGCCCGCUUGCUCUCUCGCUCUCUCUCUCUUUUUUUGAAGAAAGAGGUAAGAAAUUAUGCAUGUUCAAAUUGUAUCAUUCAUUUAUGCAUUCUAGAAUCCUUACAAUUUAAAUGGAUAAUUGUAUUACGAGUCCCAAGCUUUGAGUCAAGCUCAUAUUGGUCCUCAGACUUUUUGAUUUGGCAUACGAGACCUUGAAUUGUCAAUAAGGCAUUAUUUUUAGUCCAUGAACUUUCGAUAAUUUCAUUUAGUCUUUAUCAUAUAAUAGGAAGUCAUUCCUCGCACCUAGUUCAUUUAUAUAUCCAUACUCUACUAAUUCUUCUUUUAUUAUUUAUCUAUCGCAAACAAUAUCUAUACAAAGAAAGAAUUAUAACUCAAUGGCAGUAGGAUUGAAAUAUAAGAUGGAAAAAGAAGUUGAUAAAUAAUGAUAUAAUUAAUAAAGGUAAACAAAUGCACUUGGCGUUGGGCCGUUGGCAAUAAUUUGCCCUGUAAUAAUAAUGCGCAUAAGGAUGAUGUUGAGCUAUUAUACUAUUAAUUAACAUUAGGUGAUUUACUAUUACCCCUUAGAUCCACAGUUGUACCACCACCAAAGAGUAAACCCUACACAUAUAUCCAAGAGGCUAAAAAAAUAAGGGCUUUUUUUGCAUUUAGCCCCCUGGCAAAUUUUUAUUUAAAAAUUAGCCCUGUCAAAAUUUAAUUUGCAAAAAUGGCCCUGAGCCUGCCAUGCAGGUGCCACGUCAGCGCCACGUGGGCAGGGCCGGACCCGUGUGUUAAGUUGAACACGGUGAACCAUUCACAGUGUUCAAACACGGUGAAUGUUUCACUGUGUUUAGUAUGUAUUUUUUGUAUAUUGAAAAGAGGAAUAGGGAAUAGGGAUGGAUGUCAAUAGGUAUGGAUAUCCGAAAUAUUAUCCGAAUCCAAACCUGAAUAAAUUAUAUAUAUAUAUAUACGUAAUUUAUUUUUGUUUAUUUAUANNNNNNNNNNNNNNNNNNNNNNNNNNNNNNNNNNNNNNNNNNNNNNNNNNNNNNNNNNNNNNNNNNNNNNNNNNNNNNNNNNNNNNNNNNNNNNNNNNNNAAUGUUUUGGGGGAGUGGACCAAUCCAAUUACCAUUCCAAUUCAUUUACAUUCAUUAUCUAUUCUAAUUCCACCUUUGAACCAAACAAGCCCUAAAUGGAUAUCGGAUGAAAGAGUUAUUAUAAUUUUUCUAAUGCAGUACUGAGCUACAAGCUAGUUCAAAAUUUUACCAAUUGUUAUGGGCAGUUUGGUAAAUUUAAUAAUUAAAAAUAUAACAUAUCAACUUAGCUGGGUAACUAUUGGUCCAAUCAUAAUUUUUUCAAGAAAAAUAUUGAGUAAAUAAAAAAACACCCUUAAAUAUGCUAGUUUGAAUGGGAGAAGAGAAAAUCUGCUCUUCUAUUCUCAUUGUCUUCCUUUUUUCCCUUUUCCCCUUCCUCUCAAUACUCUAUUUCUCCUCUCUUUUAUUUAGCAAUGAGAGGAAGAAUUUUUUUUUCCUUCAAAUUGAAGGGAUUUAGGAGGUGACCUUUGGAGAAGGAAACCCAUUUUCAAGUUGAAAUUCUAGUUAGAGAAUAAAGUAAGUAGAUUUUUCAAUUUGUACUUUGUGAAUAUCAAAAAAUGAAUAUUUUGGAUUGUAUGCAUGUUUUUCUAUUCUGUUUGAAUGUCCCAAGCUAUUUUUUAUGGAUUGGCUAUAGUUUUUGAAGAUUUUAUCGCACUAUAUUCAAAUUGAAGCCCUAAAUUGGGGGGUUUUACCCUAUUACAAGAUUUUCUUGUAAUUUUAGGGUUGGGCUUCGUUUGGUUCGGGGUUAAGUAAGAAAUAAUUAUUUCAGAAAUAUAAUUAAGUUUAAGAUUAAGGUGGGGUUAGAGUAAUUUUGUGUUUGGUUGAGAAUUGGGUUUAGUCCAGAUAUAAGCAAAAUAAUAUUUGGUUGGAGUAAUUAAGUUGAAUAAUAAAAAUAGUGGGUAGUUAUAAAUAGAAAAUAAUGAUAUUGUCCUAAUUAUUAUAUUUGAAUUUAAUUUUUUUAUUUUAUAUUAAAAAUUUUAGAUAACUUUUAAAAUUAAAAAAUUCAAAAUUAAAAUUUAUAUUUUUAAAUCUCAAAUUUAAAAAUUUCAAAUUUCAAAUAAAAAAAUAUUAAAUUUAAAAUUAAAAUAAUUAAAAAUAAUAAUUGAAAUUAAAAUUUUAAAAUUUAAAAAUUAAAAUUUAAAAUGUAAAUUUUAAAUUUUAAAAUUUUAAAUUUUAAAAAAUAAAUAUUAAUUUUAAGAUUGCAAAUUAUACAUUUUUAAAAUUUCAAACAUAAAAUAUAAAAUUUAAAAUUUAAACAAUUAAAAAUAAAAUUAAAAUUUUAAAUUUAAAUUUUCAAAAUAUUAAUAUUAAUUUAAGAUUACAAAUUAAAAAUUUUUAAAAUUUAUAAAUCAAAAUUAAAAUUAUAAAUAUAUAUUUAAAAAUUAAAUUGGGGGUGGGAUUAACUUAAUCCCACCCCAAUUCUAGGGGGGUGGGGUUUGUUAACCCCACCCUUUACCGUAAAGGGUGGGGUUAACAAACCCCACCCCCAAAUGUUUUUGUUUGGGGAUAAAAAGGGGGUUAACCCCCUAACCCCUCUUUUAUCCCCGAACCAAACACACACUAAGAGCUCAAAAUGAGAUUUUGAUUAUUAACUUUUCGUUCUUGCUACUUGAAAUAGGGGCCAAUACAUAUAUAGUUACAUGAAUUGCCUUUAUUUUUAAGAGGUUUUGAUGAGUUAAUUGCAUGCUAUAAGGCUCCAAAAUUAGGAUUUUAAUCAACUACGAGGUUAAACUUUUGUAGUUGAUUUUAAGAGUUUAGAAUCCUUAAAUUAAGAUGUCAAUCAUGUUCAAAUAUAUUGGCCAUGAAUGUAUGAUAGAGCAAAUUGUUUGAUCAAAUUUAAACUUAGUUUGUUAAUAUUUCGAUCAAUUUAUGCUAUUUUCAUUUUGAACUAUUCCGGUUAGCUUUCAGAGGGUAUAAACAUCUAGUUAAGAUAUCGUUUGUUAAAAUUAAGUAUCCCUAACCCUUAUAUAGAGAGUUAUUUUAAGAUUUUUAUCUAUUUUUAGAGAGUUAUGAACUCCCGAAAUUGAAACUUUUGUUCUAAUCUGAGAAUAGAGCAUAAUAGUUGAAAUGAUGGACUUGAAUAAGUCUAAAUCAUUUAUGAUUAAGAUAAAAAUAAAAGAUUAAUGGAGAUACUCAUUAUUUGUAUGUUAAGUACUUAGGACGUGCAUGCGGGAGCUCCUACUGCCGAACCUUCCACGUCUUAGAUCAAUCUUUUCUUAUUUUGAGGUGGAAUCCUCGUACUCAUAAGUUGUUUUCGAUGAUGGAGCUUCCAAAUCGACGAUCCACUCCGUUAAAUAUGAUCUAGAGUAUUUGAAACUUCUAGAAAAUAAAUUUCGUAAAUUUUCGAAAUCAUAAUAAAGUCUAUCAAAUGGGCAUAAAAUGAACGAUCAAAAUCGAAUGACAUCCUAAAAAAGCAUGAUCGGAUCCUUCAAGUCAAGAUCGGAGUUAUUGAUCUUUAUCUAUAUAGUGAAUAAUAAUUUCUUAAUCAAAAAUUCAACAAAUUCCGAUUUUACACGUUUAAACUAGAAAGUAUCCCAUUACCGGCCGUAAAAUUUGUCAAAUUUGUGACCUCUUGAUCAUAUAGUAAAAUGAAUCGAAAAGUUUAGAAUAAAAUUGUGAUUUCUAGAAGUUAAUGCUGUAAAUAAUGUUUUAAUGGUUUGAAUCUCGAUAUCGGAUAGCUCUAUCAUCAGAAAACAACUUCAAUGAGUAUGAGGGCGAUCGUAUCAUAAUAGUAUAGUAGCUGGAACCCUAUAAUAUAUAUAUCAUAUAAUAUUAUAUAUAUAUUAUAUUAAUAUAUAAUAUAUAUAUAUAAUAUAUAUAUUAUAUUAUAUAUAGUAACUAGGUAUAUACUAUCAUACAGGAGCAUUUCGUGAUAUCAAGUGUUUUCGAUGAUGGGCUUCCAAAUCAACGAUCGGCUCGUUAAGACUUGAUCUACACUAUUGAAAGUAUUUAGAAACUAAAUUUAUAAUUUUUCGAUAUCAUUACCUAUAAAUAAGUAGUCUAAAUUGAACGGCUGAAAAUAAAAUCUCAUAAAAAAUGAUGAUAAAAGAUUUAAAUUCAAGAUCAGAAUAUAUCUGAUCUUACGCUAAAUAGUGAAAAGAAUUUUCUAUAUAAAUUUUCAUCGCAUUUGGAUUGUUUUACCCGUUAAACUCACAAACAACACACAGUGCCAUUAAAAUUGCAAUUUUGAGAUCUUUUGAUCACACUAGUUCCAAUGAGUUGAAAAAAUCUUGAAAUUUAGUUUCAAAUACUUUCAAUAGUGUAGAUCAAUCUAACGAGCGAUCGUCGAUUUGGAAGCCGCAUAUCGAAAACAACUUGGUACACGGAGCGCUCCGUGCUACCGAUACAUAGCAGACGGACCUAAUAUAUAUAUAUAAUAUAUUAUAGUUAUAUAUAUAUAUAUAUUUAAUAUUAUAUUGCUAUUGAAUGUUCAUAAUUCUUGUUGCAUACUUAAUUAUUAUUCUAAGAACUUAUGCCCUUGUUGUUUAUUCUUUGGUUCAUGAUGCAAUGGAAUUUGAUCUUAUGCUUUAGCAUGUCUCUUUUUAUCACAUUGUACUAGUAGAUGGUAUGCAUUUGUAUUGGAAGGUAGCAUUGUAAUAUCCGAGAUUUUGACAAUAUAAUUAAACCCUUUGUUGACGAUAUUUUUAUGUGUAAUGUAAUCAAAUGUUGAUUUCCAGUGCGUUUUUCGGCGAAAUUCGCCGACAGAACGCAUUUUCUAUUCAGAAUUAUUCUGACGGUGCCUUGUGAUAAUUUGUGUCGUUGUAGAGCCUGGUUGGCUGGUCAUCCAUGUCGUUUCAAGGGUUCGAAUGUGGUAUUCCUAGAGGAUAGUAGUUGAGGCUUGUCGACAGCUCUGAAGAGUGUCGGGACAAGUCCGAGUCGCGAUGGCACGAAAUAGACACAAAACGGACUCAGUGGGAACGCGAGAGCAGGAAUUAGCACUGCAAUAUGCAAAUAGCAGAUUUUUUGCUUGCUGUACCGGUACAACCAUCAUGGCUUACCAGUACAUCUUACUGUACCGGUACAACAUCAGAGGUGUACCGGUACACUGCGCAUGUUCUCGUGCAUGCUGCUCUCAGGUUGCCAUUUGUACCGGUACAACUACUCGUGUAUUGGUACACCAGGGUAGGUGGAGGGCAUUUUGGUCUUUUCAUGCCUCGUACGUGUCACCCUCUCUCCCCUUGCUAUAUACAGGUGGAGGAGAACUGAGAGAGAGUGUUUUGCUGGUUUCUUCUCCUCUCUCUCUCUAGCAUUGGCAGUGAGCAAGGAAGAGCUCGGGUAGAGUUGGUUUUUCGCCGACGUCGCGUUGCGGUGCCGUUCGAGCGUACGUUCGUCGUUGUAGCAUCGCGGGGAGGCUGGGCGAGGGUGUGAUUCCGCCGUUCUCGACGUCGCGUCGGAUUGGGAGUAGCAUUUGAGGUGGGUUAAUCGUCAAUUUAUCUUCUAAGUAUAUAUAUAUAUAUAUAUAGUCGGCAUGUGUGUGUAGUAGUGUUUUGUAUAUCACAUUUGCUCGAUUCAUUGAUUUAGCAUAGUUACUAAUAAAAUCUGAAUUGGAGUCUUAUUAUUGACUAUCUCUAUUAGCACAUGUUGGACUGGGAUUUGACUUAGGAGAAAACUGCGAUUAUAACCUGUCAUAUGUCUAAACUAUCAGAUUUAGUUUUAGGAGCCGUUGUAUUGUUGUCACGCUGCAGUUUUAGCGUGGUGGAUACCCAACAUAGUUUAGAUUUCCGUUACGCUCAUACUGGGAUGCCGAGUGUAUUUUUACAGUAGCGUUCGGACUGUUGCGGAUUAGUAGGGGCCGUCGGGGUUGGCGGUGGAUCUAGAUUACCGGUUUGGCAUUAGAUUGUGGCGGGGGCACGUGACUUGUUGGUUGUUAGACCAGUUGGACCUUGUUAUUUGACUUUAGCUUGUGAGAGCCGGAUUGAGCUCGACAGAGAUACGCUUGCACACUCAGUUGGGUAGCUCUCACGAAUGCCACUCCGGAGACUGGCGCUGUGCUUUUGCGUUGGUGUCGUUCGUGCAGGUUCGACUUGCUCUCCACUGACUGCUUAGGGUGGAGGUAGCUGUACAGUCGCAACCGGGCGGGACGGGUGUGUUCACAGUCCCAGGGACGAGCAUGCUUACAGUCCCCAGUGAGAUUGGGUCAGGAUUGAUAUUUGCUACAAUUGGUUAGUGUAGAGCAUGAUAGUACAAUGAUAUUUAGCUGUAGAUUUCUUCCGGCUUUUCCUACUAUCCUUGCUUCCUAUUGUAGACUUGGUAGGUGGACCGACGAUACUGAGGGCGGUACCCAUUGAGGACUACUUAUUUUUACAGUAGUUCUCAUGCCCAGCUGUUACCUUUCUUUUGCAGAACCUUCGGUUCCAGCUGCUGCAUCUUCUGAGACAGAUCGUGGCAAGAGUGUUGCGAGCUAGAGCCCUACCCGACGAGUCGCCGAGAUAGAGAUCACCUGCUGUAGGUAGUUGUACUUUUAUUUUGAAGUUCAUGUGCAUACAGAUGUUGUAACUCGCUAGGGCGAUGUCACGCCCCGAGCCCGAUCCCUUUUGGCCAGUUCGAGAGCGUCAAACAGACGCCGAACGGACAGAGCUUCCCCUGUCCGCCCAAGGCUCAACACUAGUAUCAAUAGAGUACAAAUUUGUAUAAGCGGAAGCAUACAUAAUGGCUUGCACGAGGGCAAGCAAUAGCCAAGGUGAAAGAAUUAGCAAUUCAAUAUACAAGUAAUAUGACUAAUUUAAAUCACAUACAUGCAUCAUUUCUUUUUUUACAUCUCGUUUCUCCCAAAAUAUAACUUUUGACAUUUAAAGUAAAUAUCCUUUACAUCAUUCAUUAAAGCGAGUUCAUAAUACUAAAAUCAUCAAAUACAAAAGAUGAUAGUAAAGGGUAUGCAACUACAAAAUGAAAUCCAUCUCGUGCGGUCUCUACCUAAGGCGCGAUGCCCUUACCGCGAUCAUCUGCCGGCUCGCUCGGUCCCGACUUUGUGAAAAUAGUGGGGUGAGAAUUACAACAAAGUUCCCAGUGGGUUCGGCAACCAACCACGCCGACUAUCCCACUAGGUCUAAUCAGGCAUAAUAGAAUAAAGGAAAGUAAGUAGCAAACUAACAAAUGCAGCUAAUAUGCCUGAACAAUAAAAUAUGCGAUGCUCAAUACAAUGCUCAUGGUGAAUGCAAGAUUAACUUUUUAUUACCCAAUCUCAUGGCUAGCCCGUAGGUUUCGCCCUCACAAACUCACCAACCCAAAUCCCUAUUAUCGGGGAGAUAACCGCUACGACCCGACGGGACCGCCCUCUGGGGAGAUAACCGCUACGACCCAGUGAUGACAACUCCGGAGCACAUCGCCCGAGGGGGAGCUACUGCCCUCGAGCAAGGACUAUUAGGUGAGUACGAUCAAUCCUUAACUUUAAGGAUUUUAAGUUUAAUCCAUUCCUUGACUUCAAGGAGAACCAUGUACAUAUGACCCUUAAUUCUAAGGUGUAUAUGUCAUAAUGUCACUAGCCCAAUUUACUUGUAUUCUCUAACCUCUACUAGUGUCAUGUACACUACUUGUUCUUGUUCUUUGUCAUUGAUGCCACACUUGUUUUCUAAGUGCUAUGUUCUUGUACUCAUGCCACACUCUAUGUCUAUGCCAACAUGUCACAUUUGUUUACUAACCCUUCUAGGUUCUUGUCCCUUGUCAUGCAUAUAUAGGGUUACCAAUUCUUAUUCAUUUACUUCUAUUUCUCAAGCAUUAGAACUCAUAUCAUGCAAAGAAAAUUUACAAUUAACCCUACUAUGCAACAUGCUCAAUAUAAAUACAUAUGCUCAAAUAUGACGCUUUAGACAUAAAGGGAUGUCCGAUGUCGUUGGAAUGCACCACCCACCUUAGAUGGUCACAAGGAUGCUACGGUGAAUUUCUUGGAAUUUUUGAAGCCCUAGUCUGCGUGCUGCGGCUAUCUGUACGGAAAAUAACGUUUUUAUUAAUAACUUUGCGUACACUCAUCGGAUUGUCGAACCGAGCGUUCCAACGCGUUUAAAAUACCCUCAAUUAGGUUUCUACAUGAUCAAAAUAGAUCAAGACCCAACUUGGGCAAAACCCCUCUUUGGGAUGCCCUAACAUGUUAUUUUUCCAUUUCUCCGAGAUUGAUCUCAUUCCUAAGCAAAAGAUAGCUUAGAUUCACAUGGGAAGCUCUCUAAUAAGGUUUCUAAGCUUUUAGAACCAUCCCUAGGGCAUCUACUUUGAGCCCUAGUGAUCCACCAUGAGAGGGGUCUAAGAAAUCCAUGUUUUUCAUGGAGUCAUGGUCCUUAGAGGAUUUCCUCACUUGUAGAGAGAUCAAAACCCAAAAAUCUAAGGUCUAAACCCAAACCCUAAACUCAUUUUUGCAUAAGGACUCACCUUUGCCCAAGCUCCACCAAAGCCUACUUGUUGGAGAGCUUCUAGGACCACCAAAGCCACCAAAAUCCACUUCUCCAAGCUCUUCUCCACCUUCUCCAAGCUCUAGGGCUUGCUUUCUAGAGAGAGAAAGAGAGGAAAAUGAGAGAGAGGGUGAAAUGGGUGUUGGCUGUGAGGGGAAGGGGUAUUGGGCUAUUAACAUGUUGUAACAUUUGCCAAAAAACCCUCCCAAUCUUUAUAUUUUGCAGCAGACCUCGUUUUGCUGUCGGGCCCAAAGUGUACCGGUACACUUUUUCGUGUCACCGGUUACACGACUACGCAGAGGCAAACCCGAGAGCAGAUCUCUCGGUUUCGCCCAAAAUGUACCGGUACACUUUUUCGUGUCACCGGUUUCAGCAUGUGUAACCGGUGACAGGUCGCUUGCUGUACCGGUACACAUUGCUCCAGACCUGAUUUUUGGCUCCGUCUCGAUUCUAUUUUGCGCCGAUCGAUGCCAAAACCCUUCUAACACUUCUAGAACUCAUUUUUAACCCUCCCAACAGUGUUGGUAGGUUAAUUGGAACUCGCCCAAUUAAUCCAUUCGCGCACUUUAGUCAGUUUGCCUAAAGUUCGUCAUUUUCUAUCUAGGUUUCAAUACGUUACAGGCGAGUAUCUUUGUACCUGGAUGCUUUGUAUCUAUAUGGAACUUGCUUUUGUUAUUACUUGUUUAUUUCCUAGCAGCUCUAUACUACUUGUUGUAGUAUUGUAUGAUUUACAGAUACAGUUACGCUUCGUAUACAGGAAAUUUUUUUUUGUAUACGGUGGAUUUGUCGGCGUGCCCGGGGAACGUGUAAUCCGGGGCGUGACAUAUAAACGACGGGUGAGCGACGGUGGGUUCCGAUGUCGAAUUGAACACUUCCGGGAACCCGGAUCGGAACGAUUAUCCGAUGAUAAUUAUUUUGAAGUGAGACAAUAUUUUUGCUGCCAAGUCACACGAAAAUAUGUGUUUAGUGGCAGCGGAUAACUUGUAGCUGGAGUCGGUGAGUUCCGGUAUAGUACGUGGGUCCUAUCGGAGUCUCGAUGCAAUUUUCGGGACUUCCGACGUGUUUGGCAAUCGAUUUUGGGAAACAGAUUCCCGUAGGGUUAGUGGUGGGGUUUGUGAGUUAGUGAUUCGUGUUGUGGGUUGGAUGCUAACCCGGUAGACCCUUCGUAGGUCCGGUUGUGACUUCCUCCGCAGUUGGAAGGCCAGUACCACAUUUGUACAGGUGGAUACUUCGAUCCGAAGUAGGUACAGUGGUGCAUGCUCGGUGACAUCUUCUUACCCUUGUUCUCUAGUUGUUAUCUUGCAUACAUAUGUCUAUAUAUUGUGUUGAGUCUAGCACCUAUGUUGUUCUUGUUAUACUCUACUCGGUUGUUUUUUUAUGUGUAGUAUCAUGAGUAGGAGUAAAGUAGAUUUAUGAUUUCAUGUGAGAUUGGUGACCUAGUUGGUCGGUUCUAGUAUUCCAUAUCUGUGACCUUUUUGGUCGGUUCAUUGUAUAUGGUAUUAUGACCUACAUGGUCGGUUGGACUACUUGGUGACCUAUACAAUCAGUAUGCCCAGAGGGGUAGGAUUGUCGGCUAGUUGUCGAUGGUUGGCUAUUGAGCAUUCAGCAUCGAUUGUUACAACUCGUACGCAUUUCACGAACAUCAGCGGUCUGAUCCAUCGCAAGAGGGUGUUCUUUUCGAAAAAAGUGAUUGGAUGUGCCAGCCCAUGAGCCCAGCAGUCAGAACUAGGUUAUAUGCAGCCUGUGAGCCCAGCGGUCAAACUGGGUUUAUAUACAGGUACAGUGACAGUGGCAUAGGCCUGAGGUGUUGCGGACCAAUAUGGUUGUUUCUGAUUAGGUAUUUUUGGACUUGUUGUCCGGCUGAUGCAUACAUACAGUAGCAAUAGUUGUUCAUUUAUACAUCCUGUUCAUUUAUUAUCGCUGCUACUGUAUUACACUUACCCAUACCUUUGUUUAGCUUCCUUGACUAGUGAGUACCCUUCGCCCUCGUCGACUUGUGGUACCUACUGGGAGGAGAGAUAUGUUUAUAUAUUCUCACCCCCCACCCCCAUUACAUGUGACGUUGUGGGACGAUUCGUGAGGAGCUCGUCUAGCGAUCGAUAAAUCCACCGUCCCAUUGUUUGGUUAAUUCUCAAACUCAGAUUCUUUAAAUAAAUGACUUAGACAGUUAAUUGGUUCAGUGACUUAUUACUUUUGAAUUCAUACGGUUUUAUAAAUGUAAUAAAGGAUUUGUGGAUUUUUGUGAAAUAGAAAUUGUUUUCUAUCCCUCGUGGUAGCGAGUUUUAAAAGGAAAAGGUUUCCGUAUGGAAAACUGUUUUUAAAAGGUUUUCUUGGUUUUCAUGGUUUAGUGUUUUAAAACGAAUUUUCGGAUAGGAAACAUUUUAAACCAAUAGUUGUGGAUUUAUGAAUAACUCUGAUUAUGAAUAUGAUUGUGAAUGGUGUUUGAUUAUGUGUAUGUGUAUAUGUGUGGUUGUAUUCUUUAUGGUAAAUCUUGUAUCUUCUACUUGUGCGACGCCGUGCAAAUAAGGGGGGACUCUGUUUAUGUGAAUAGUGGACUCCCUAUAUUUGUGGCAAAUCUCGCAUACCCUAGAGGUCGGGAUUUAAAAAAAAAAAAAAAAUUGGGCACUUCCGCUAUGAUUUUAAACCAAAAUGGAACCCCGGGGCUUGACGGACGACGCCACUGCAAGUGAUCGGUGAGCUCUCAAAGUAGCCGAAGACAGAGGUGUCGCUCAGCUGUAACCUCCAUAGGUAGGGGUAGACCUCUUGAUGGGAAAGCGUAGAGGGCGAGAGAGGUAAGGAGAGGAGAUUAGAGAGAGAGAGAAGAGAGAUAGAGAGAGGGGUAUAGGGCCUACGCGUGUAGGCCUACACCUCAUCACAGCGCGAAGAGAGCGUGGGCGUCGUAGAGAGAGGGGAGAGAGAGGAUGGCAUGGUGGGGGAUAGCUAGAGGUGAGGAGAGGAUAGAGGCUCGAAUAGGAGAGGGGUAGAGAAAGAGCCAGCGACAGAGGGGGGAGGGAGGAACAGAGAGAGAAAGCCACGGAUGAAAGAAAAAGAGAGAGGAGCGGGUAGAGGAGUGGGGCUAGGGAGAAAAAGGGGGGUUCGGCUAAGAGGAGAGAGAAAGAGAGAUAGAGAGAGAGGGUCGGAUAGAAGAGGGCUAACGAGAGAGCGAGAGGGGCAGCCGCAGAGAAGGAAGGAGAGAAGAGAGAGAGUCUGCGGUAGCUGAAGAGAGAGAGACAGUUGGGGGUGAGUGGAAGAGAGAGAGGGUGGGGUGUGAGAGGAGGGUAAGAGAAAGAAAAUGUUAGGUAUAGGGAAGAGAGAGAGAGAGUGAGACAGCUGUAAGGGAGAGGGAGAGGCUAGGCUAGGCCUUCUCGCCACGUGUAAUGCAGAAUAAAGAGGCAUGCCACGGGGAAUUGAUGAAAGUGUCAAAUAAUAUAGUGUUAAGAUGCUAGGAAAUGCCACCAAUGCCAAGUCCAUAGUGAUUUUAUCGAUCAACAUCCGAACCCUCUGCACCCGAUAAUUGCCUCUUGGCCGUUUAAAAUGUGGGGAACAGACGUCAUAGGGCCAAUUAAUCCUUCCUCAUCCCGAGGGCACAAAUUUAUUCUCGCAGCAACAUACUACCUCUCUAGAUGGGCUGAGCCUAUUCCUUUGAGAGAAGUGAAAGUAGAUAAUGUCAUAAAAUUUUUUAGAGAAAAUAUUUUGAACCGCUUCGGAAUUCCUCGUCGAAUUAUUUCUGACAAUGGCUCAGCCUUCAAAAGUUUUUAGGUCAGCAAAUUCGCCCCCGACCAUAAAAAUUGACUAGCGAUAUUUGUUAAACUAUAAUCCAAGAGCUAAUGGUUUGGCCGAAGAUUUCAAUAAAACCUUGGUCAAACCUCUGAAAAAAAUUAUUGAUAAAAAUAAGAGGGAAUGGCAUGACAAGAUUUCAGAUGCGCUCUGGGCUUACCGAACAACUUUUAAAACUCCUACUCAAGCCACACCUUAUUCUUUGAUUUUCGGAACGAAAGCUGUCCUUCCUCUGGAAGUAGAGCUACCAUCACUAAGGAUGGCGGUUCAACACGAAAUGACAGAUGAAGAAAAUAUCUUCUUAAGACUUGAUGAACUGGACUCUUUGGACGAGAUGCGAUUGGCUACGCAACAGAACUUAGAACUUUAUCAGUCUCAAAUGUCAAGGGCCUAUAACAAGCUGGCGCGUGUCCGCACUUUUCAAGACAGACAUACCGGGGGCAAAUUCGAUCCAAAUUUGGAAGGUCCCUAUGUUAUAGAAAAAGCAUAUGAGGGAGGAGCUUAUCAAUUAAUCGACACAAAAGGAGAAAGACCGAUGUCACCGAUCAACGGACGAUUUUUGAAGAAAUACUAUCGGUAAAAAAAAUAAAAUAAAAUAAAAUCCGGCUGUGAAUAAAUUUCACGGGCAAAAAUGAAAUCCCUGCGGUGAGAAAACCUACAUUUGGCUCACAGGCAAAAGUUAGGAGAAAGGUUUCUACCGAAAACCCUCACGGGCUCUAGUUUCCAAUAAAUCUAAAAUCCACACCUUUUUUCUGCCGACGAUGGAAAUGCUAACUCACCCCUCGGGGUCGGUUAUGUGCAGCAAUCUCGAUAUACUGAGUUGCUUUCGGAGGCCAAAUAAACUCAACAACUUCAUCACAGUUUGCAUUAACAAUAGAUAAACUAAGAAGCAUCCAAUCUCAUGCUUAAAAAUUAGGCAAUCAUAUUUGUCUUCAAUCUCAUGAAAUUGAGGAGCUAAUUAAUUACACAACUAGGAGCUAAUCAUGUAUACAUAUAUAUAUAGAGUUGAGCUAGAAUACUAUCAAUAGCAAACCGGUACUUUUGCCACCCAUUUGUUUUCGAUGAUGGAGCCUCUAAAUUGACGAUGGGCACCAUUGAAUAUGAUCUAUACCAUUUGAAGUAUUUAGAAAUCAAAUGUCAUAUAUUUUCGAUAUUGUUAUCUUAUCCAUCGAGUGGACACAAAAUUGAAAGGCCGAAAAUGAAUAUUCUUAAAAAAAUGAUAAUAUGAGUCUGAUAAUCAAGAUCAAGAGUAUAGAUCUUGUUUUAAAUAGUUUAAAAAAUUUUCUAACAAAAAUUCAAUUGAUUUGGAUAUCUUUACGCCGUUAAACGAGAAAACGCCUCAUAUCAACCAUUAAAAUUACAAAAUUUGAAACCCUUUGAUCAUUAGGUAAAUGAUGUCGAAAAAAGUUGAAAUUUGAUUUCUAAACACUUCAAGUGAUAUAGAUCAUGUUCAAUGGUGCCAAUCGUCAAUUUGGAGGCUCCAUCAUCGAAAGCAUAUGGGUGGCAAAAGUGCUGGUUUGCUAUCGAUAGUAUUCUAGCUCAACUCUCUCUCUCUCUCUCUCUCUCUCUCUCUAUAUAUAUAUAUAUAUAGAGAGAGAGAGAGAGAGAGAUAAGCUCCUAUACUUUCGAAAGUACGGGAGCCCCCGUACUUGUAAGUUGUUUUUAAUAAUGAGACAUCCGAUUCAGCGAUCGGUUCAGUUAGACCUAAUCUACGCUGUUGGAACUACCUAGAAACCAAAUUUCAUAAUUUUUUGACUUCGUUUGUCUAGUAAACAAGUAGCCUCAAAAUAAAUGACUGAAAUUGAAAAUCUCAUAAAAAGCAGUGAUAAAUGACUCAAAUUUCGAAAGUAUUGGUCUUACUAUUGAUGUUAAUUAGAAUUUUCUAUUAAAUUUUCAUCUAAUAUGAAUAUUUCUACACCGUUGAACUUAAAAACGUGCCACAUCGGCCAUUAAAAUAGUCAUGAUUAGCCUGUGCUAGAAGAGAUGAUAAUUGAAACUUUGAUUCCAUCAUGAAUUGCGACAAUAAAAGGAGCGUAUUCCACAUUUUUUUUGUACCAAAACAAGAAAGUCAAAGCAUGCGGAAAAAAUCUCCAAUCAUGCAAAGAAUUACAAAGACCAAGAAGAAUUAAUCCCUAAGAUAUUUUUAGAUUUUAUAUAUCAUCUUAAAUGAAGACAAAAAAUCAUACCUUUCUACAUGACACUAAUAAUUAAACUCAAGGAUUGGUGCUGAUUUAAAUUGGCAAGGUUCUAUCAACAAUCACCCUUUCCCGUGCAUUUUACUCGGCGCCAUCUAGAAAUGCUUCCUUCUUUCAUUUUUGGGAUAUAUGCCAAAAACUGAUGAACAAAAUAGAGGAAUGAGCCUACAUUAGUUGCCUGAGAGAUACUGAAACGAAAACAAAGAGGUUAACCAUCAAUGCGAUGUUGCAAGUCUUGAAGUAAGUCCAUUUUGAUUUUUGCGAAAAUCAAGUGCGGCCUACUUUCAUUCCUGUUAGUUUGCCAAGAAGAGAAGCAAAAGCAACGGUAGAAGAACCAAACCUCAGUACCCUGAGGCGAACACCUGUCUCAUCCGCUACACCACUAGAACAAUCUCUCGCCAAAAGCUUGAUAACAUGGAGGCUCUCCUUCGUAUUGACACCGUGUAAAUAUGAUACGAGAGAUAACUUUCUCUCUCAUCACGAGGCAUAAUAUCUUGUAAUAUACCAGAUUUUGUAUACAAAAUAAUACAAGUAAAUAAAAAUAUGCUGAGAUACAAUUUUAUGGUUUUUGAGAAAAAAGUUAUAAGUAUAUAAUGACUUGUGUUAAAUCGAAAUGAAACAGAAAGAUUAUAAUUUCUGUUGAAAGGGAGGGAUAAGAUUAUCGAAAAUGCACAGUGUCAGAAAAUUUUAUGAAAAUUGGAGGAUAAUUACGAAAUAUUUUUAUGACGGAUAGAUUAAAGUUUCAUAUUUUUUUUGACACCGUAAAGUUGGAGAAAAUAAAAUCCGAAAUCUAUUCUAUAAGAAUUAAGUUCGGAUACGUUUUCGUGAGCAACGGUCGUAACUGAAAACAUAAAGUAUACUUUCUGUUCAGUACUGUAAACGAAUAUGACUAGCAAUUUGAGCUCAAACGAUGACUCUGGGAGCUCCGGCGAAAGAUAUCAGAUUUUUAAUUGCCUGUGAGUGAAUUAGUGUUUAUUGGAAGCUUACAUAGGAAAAUUGGAGAUGACAAGUUUCCUCUCUUAUGUAUUAGGGAUGAAACGAUACCGGUGUUGGAGCUCCACCACGAUCCGCCCCGACGUAAGCAGGUCGAAAGGAUAAAUAAACGGAUUCUGGGCCAAGGAAACGGGAAAAAUUUUGCAACCGCCCCGACAUCCGCCCCGAAUCGGCGCCAUGAUCGACCCAAUCGCCCCGAAUAUCAUUUGUAUUUUUAAAAAAUUAUGUCCCGAAACAAUAAAUAUAUUAUAAAAAAUUAAAAUCAAAAUAAGAUUAUUACUCUCUAUUCAAUGUAUUUGAAAUAUUGAAUUUUGUUUUAAUUGUGAUUUAUUUUCUAAUUUACCAUAAUAUGUAAUUAAACUUAUAAUAUAAUAUAUAUUAAAAAUUAUUUAAUUUGAUAUUUUACAAAUAUUAUAAUAUUAUAAUUUAUAAAAAAUAUUUAGUUGCGCGGGGAUCGGGGUCGUCGGCGGCGAGGCGGGUUCAGAGGCGGGGGCGAAUUAUGGGAUGUAUGGUUUGUUAAACCCGAUCCGGAUAUCGGGGCGGGAGGGCGGGCCACUCUCUACGGUAGUGGUGGGAAGGUCGGCGCGUCAUCGCCAGCCCCUAGAUCGCCGCUAUUGCUCUCAUACGCUAAUGUAAUAUAUAGGCUUUGCGGCUUUCUUGUUCCUCAUUCUCUAUUCACAUCUCACAAGAAAAGGAAAAAUCUCCUCUUACCGCCAACACGAUGUGAUUGUAUUAUCACACACACUGCGACCACACUCACAGCUAGUCCUGUUGAUUAGGUCGCAUCUCACUCUGAAUUCUCUCCUAAUGUAAGCAAGCUACUCUCGCCAAUUAGUGGAUUUAGUUUGAUGUGUCUAAUGCUCCGUACUAAGGGUGAUGAUCCUUAGUACUCUCUCAAAGCAUAGGAUUUGAUCUGCUAUGGAACCGACCACCCCCACGUUUAUCCUUGUCUUGUUUAAUCCUUAAUGCUUUAGUGUUUCAAUAGCCUAUAAUGUUAUGCAUUUUAGUAUGUUUAAAUCAGUUUAAUUUGGGUUAAUUGGUUUAGUUGGUAGGGAGCUAGGUUUAUAAUGAUGAUCUCUCACACACUCUCACACUCUCAUCCUCUAAGAAUGGAUUUAGAGGAAUCCUUAUGAAUGUAAAUGGAUGGCUAUUGCAUGAAUUAAUGUUGUAUGACGAAUUCUUGCAAUAGUGCUAUCUUAGGAGCCUCAAAAAUGGCCGAUUUGUGUAAAAAGUAGGUUUGAUAUCAUUUUGACCCUCCAGUAUUCGAUAAUUGCUAGUAAACGAAGCCGUUGGCGAAGCCAGUUCGGAAAUCGACGAGCCGUUUACGAAGUUAUUAAGAAACGUACGUUUAGGUCUCGGGUCCGCCUGAGCCGAGGCGACUCAUAAAUCAUGGGAUCAGGAUCUGGAGCACGUGGCACUGAACAAGACCUUAAUUUUUCGGCAUCGUGGAUCGGAGCUGAUGAUCGGUAGAUCGCGCUAAAAGAUCGGACAAACCGGGUUACGGAUGCCACGGAGAGGCGAUUUGCAGCGUGACAAAGCAAUCGGAAAGCGUUAUUGAGGUGGGUUGUGUCUCACCGAAGCGUUAGGGUCGCUUUUCGUCGUGCAAAGUGUAUAUGUUUACUAUUUGAUGCAUGAUAACGUAUGACUAUUUAUGAAUGCAUUUGUAAAAGUAUUGCUUAUUUUACAGAUGGGAUUAUAAGAUAGAUGACCAGACGCAUAGCAUGAAUUGUGCUUGUGUUUAAUUUCAAUUAAUAUGACUUAUAUUAUAGAUCUUGAGAUUAAUAAGAUGUCCAAAAUUGAUUUUGGAAUGAGUAUUUUAUUAAAUAAGAUCUGUAGAAUGCAUGAUGUUGGAAAUUUUAGUAUUAUAGGAUUAUGCAUUAUAGAUUGUCUUUAUAUAGCUUAUGAAUAACCAUGGGAUGAAACAAUAAAAUAUAUAAUGUGGCAUGAUUGAACAUAAGAGCUAGUAGUAGCUUUCCGAAUAUUUUGCGAUAUAUGUGUUACAUAGUAGUUUUGAUGUGGGCAUAAACAAAAGCACAUAUAAAUCUUGUAUGUAAAGAAAAUAAUAAUAUUAUGCCUUAAAAUGAUCACUUUGGUGAUCUAAAUACUCAAAUGAUGUAUUAUUGGAUUGAUAAUUGAAUAUGAUAUUGUAUUUGAUAGAAGUAUCAUAGUAUUGGUAUUAUAUGUUGAUUAGACAUACUCUUAAAUAAUUCUUCAUUGUGCUAUGACAGCAUAUGAAAGAUAAAUUAGUUUUCGAAAGGAUCCUUCAAUUGAUACUCGGAAUUCUAGAGGACAAGACAAGACAAAAGCAAAUUGUUGAUUAAAAAAGAAUUAAACAAAGAUAUGGCUAGGGAAUUUAGGCCGCCCCAGCCUGUUUAAAUAGUAAUUGUUGGGCAUGAGUAAAGGCAUUAUCCAAUGGCAAAGGUUCUAACGAACAAAAAACUAAAUCAUCAUUAAUUGAAGCAGGGUUUAUACAUUUUUCAUAAUGAGCAUUAAAUAGGACAGUCUUACAAGCAAAACGACAAGAUAGUGGCGAAACAACUACAGUGAUUAUUAGAUUUUAGGUAUGAGUCACAAACAUUAUUAAAUUAGGGUCCACUCCUUUUUGGUUGGGUUUGUUUUGUUUAAAUUCCAUCUAAAUCACCUCCCUGCCCUUGCCGUCCUUCCAGUGUUGUGGGCGGAACAGUACAGAACUUCAAAUUAACAAUACUGCAAUAGAACGCACACCCCAACACCCGCCGAUACUUGUUGUGGGUAGACCAAUCACGGCAUGCUAUGCUUACUAUGAACGUGUGCCGCUCAUGCCGGCGACCAGUGAAUGGAUAAUGCUAGAGUUAGCAAACAUGUGACAGAAAACACGACUAGACGUUAUAGCUGUUAGGAAUAAAAGAACAGUGUGUAUCAAGAAUGACAAUUAUAGAGUAAUGACAAUGGGGUGUAAAGAAACGAAUGAUAUGUAGAUGGUUAGCAACUAAUGUUACUGAUGUAGAGAACAAUAAAAGUUAAGUGUAAAGAUGAGGGAGUGAGACUACUAAAUCCUUUGAAGUGUAAUGAUAUGAUAAUCAUACUUGCUAUGAGUUUGCGCGAGGGGGUGCUCGAGAGGGAAGAGAAAGUGAGGCAGUCAGCUCCACCUGAGGCGAAUGCGUUCUGGAGGUUUGAAAUCCACGGUUAGGAGUAAACGCAGAAGGAGAUCCUAGCUGCGUGAGUCAUGCCGAUGAGUGAAUAAGUGUGAAGGUCGAAGUUAAUGUGCGCGAAAGCCUAGGGGUAGCGGUGAAGUGGAGAAUUAAAGAAUCAAAGAACAAAAAAGGAUCAAUGAAUGUAGUUAAAGGAUUCUUGUUUAUUCAUUAUAAUUUGAACAUACAAGACCGAGAAUAUGGGGGUGGGGGCGAUAGUUGUGCGUAGUGGUUAAAGGUGAACCCUAGGAAAAGAAUGGUAUCAAUUAAUGAAAGAUAUGGACAAUGAGUAGAAACGGCUUUUUAAUGUUUAUAAGAAUGCGGAAAUGUGAUAUAAUGCCGCCUAAGUGGCGGAGUGCCAUGUAGCAAAAGAUUAAAUGAAUAGAAAAGUAUAGACAGAAUGAAUAAUGAUAAAAGAAUAGAAAAUUUUAAAAGAAAGGGCUAAUGGUAAAGAAGACUAGAGUUGCAUAAUUUCAUAUUUGUGAGCGCAGGAACAUUGUAUGACCGAUGUUAAUAUGUAAUAUGUACUGUUGAACAACUAGACAUGUGCAUCAGUGCUCUUUGGACCUGGUGGGUUGAGUCUUUCCCAUGGUCAUGUACCACUGAGGACUCAUGGACAAUAGUCUCACCCCCGUGUUGUUGUUUUUUGGGGGUACAGGUUCACACGCGAGCGGCGCGACGACGCGAGGAAAGGGCGUAGCUCCGUAGUAAGCGCCCUACCACAGAGACCAGAUAGCAGCACCUUGAGUCGGCUUCUUAGGGUUAAAGAAAAGAAAAGAAAAGAAUCGAUGUUGUAAUAUUAUGUUUAGAAAUCGAUUGUAUAUUUGGAAGUUGAGGAUCAAUGUAAUGAAAAAUGCAAUGUAAAAUGAUAAGAUGAAUGAUUGUAAUAACAUAGGAUGUGUUAUGUUGUUUGAUACCUUCCUUAUGCAAUCGUUGUUGAAAAUUGUUCCUGUUUGGAACCUCUUGUACUUGUAUUGAUUGCGACGCCUUGAACGUACAAGGGAGACUCUGUCCGCGUGCAGGGGAAACCCUGUCAGUUCGGCAGUCUGUUGGCGUGCCUGAAUCCGACCAAAGAGGCCGACUCGGGGCGUGACAUAUCUGAAGGGUUGUUGGCAGUGAGGGUGACCAUGUAGAGCCAACCCUUGUCCGACAACAGCUUGUCAGCAACUGGAUGGAUCUUAUCAAUCACCUUUCGCCCGUCCUCUCCUCCAGCCCAGGAAGCAGUUAUUCCUUCACAACCGACUUCUUCCUCUGGUGUCGGCACGUAAGGAGAGUUCACAACCACCACAUCUACCAUACCCGCAAGUCGCCUCUGAAGGCCUGACACAAUAUCAGCAGCCACUAUCUCGGAAUGCACGUCGUGUGCCUCGAGUGUUGCGCGAGUCGCUUCAGCGGCAUGCAGAUUGAUGUCAGUCGCAAAGAAAUACACCUGAAAGCCUAACGGGCUGAGCACGAGGGCUAGAGAUGUAAUUACAUAGCUGCUCCCAUAACCGAUUUCCAUGCAGAACCUUGGUUGGUGCUCCAGAAGGCUUGACCGAUCUGCUAGAAGUGCAUCGACCAAAGCAAAUGAGUCAUCACAUGGUUCGUACACCUCAGGGUGGCCACUAACAAGAGGGAUCUGUGCAAUUUUAGAUGACAUCUUCAAAGGGACCUCGCAAAGGUACUGCUGUGGCUUCAAAGCUAGUUGACUACACACAAAUGAAAUGCCACAUUAACAACGUUAGGUACUUUGAAAGUAAGGAUUACUUGCGCCUCCCGUGCUAUAUAGUGCCAAGGCCAUACUGGCACUUGGCACAGGGUCAUGCCGAUAUAAAAUACGCUCCUUUUUUUAAAGUCCUGGAGGUUCAUGAGUUUUUUGAGGUAAAAAACUUAUACAAAAGUUUUUCCAUACUUGCAAUGUGUAAAUCUUAUAAAUCUACCAAUAUUUGGAGCAAUAAGUGAGUUCCAUUACAUAAUGAGAGCAACUUUUAUUGAAAAAUACAAUAAAAAAGUUCUUUAAUCAUUUUAGAUCCAGUGAGUUUACCCUUGGUACUGGUUUUAUAUAAUUUUUUUUACUUGUAUUCAUGCAUAUACUUUCAUAAUGCAUAUAAAAUGAUUUUCUUUGGUUAUUAAGAAAUUUAUGGCUCUAUUUUUACUAAAUUGUGUGAGAUAAAAUACUAGAGCAAUUUUUACAGUCAGUUAAAGAUAUUAAAACAGUCUUAAAAGCUAAUUUUUCAUGAAAUCUUGAUUAGAAAAAUUCAUGCCAAAGCAUGCCAGUGUGCCAAUAGAGUGCCAUUGGCAUAAAGAGGGGUGUCGACAUUGGCACGCCCUUGGUGCUGUGCCAUGCCAUGCUGCUAGCUGUGGCAAUGAUUAGGCGAUCCAUGUUUGAGAAUAAAACAACAGAAAAAUGCUAUUAUAUGAUCAAUAGAAAAAGAAUAUGUCAAUAUGAUGUAUGAUAAAAAGUGCCAUUGUAACUUACUAAUAUCUUUCUCAACUCAUUGAAUUUUGGUGAAGAACUUUAGUGUCCUUUGUCUGAUAUUAUAUUCCUCGCAAGCAAACAAGGGAAAGAAGUAUCAAACCACCAGGUUAUCUCAUUGGUCCAACCAGACACAACUCGCACUGUAAUCAAAAGAAGAAAAAACUGUCAGUUAUCAUCCUUCAGUACCUCAAAAAAUGGCAAAAGAUUAGUAGAACCAAAGUAAAGAAGAGGUAAAUGUUUCAUAAUUCACAUCAAUAUGGGCUUGCACGACAGCCUAAGAUGAGGGACAAGUUCCUUUUGAUACAAAGCAACAAAGAAAGAUAGCAUUAGUGGAAGUGUGAACCACUACACACAUGUAAGACAUCGAUAGUAUAUCAUCUAUUUUUUGAAGAUUAAUCAAAGUAAUCUCAUCAAAGAAGAAAAUAAAGGAAUAUUUGCAUUCGUAGAUACUACUAUAGUUCUUGUGUACUACCAGGAACUAAAAUAACAGAAUAAAAUAAAAAUCUGACAAGAAUGUUAACCAAAAUAAAAAAUGGGACCCCUAAACAUUCAGUUAAGAGUAACAAGAAAAACUCAAAAAAUAAUAGAUGAAAAAGAUGUGAAGAUAUGUGUGAAAGUAAAAUUGCACUAACCAUCUUUUUAAAUAGAGAAAUGAAUUAUCUCGCCGAUGAAAACAAAUGAGAAUGCUUGCUUAAUGCAUGCUUGGCAUGGUGUUGAAAUUUGAAAAGGAGAUGUGUUGAAAAGAACUUUUAUGACCUUCAAAAAAAUUUGUUCAAACAAAGUGUCCUAAAUUAUAAAAGCCACCCUUGCACUUUAACCCCUAUCUUAACUACCCCCUUGCAUUAAAAAUUGCAUCAAUUACCACCCUGCAUUUUGUCACCAUCUCAAAUAGAAUAAAAAAUUUGGAAAUGUAACAAAUUACAUUGUAAAACUUCACUACAAGGAGUUGGCAUAUUACAUUGUUCCAUAUCUCAAUAUUUAUUUAAGCCGCAAGUCAAAAAAAAAGAUAAAAAUUUAAAUAAAACAGAGAUCUAUAUUAUUAAAUUAAUAUUUUAUUGAGAAAUUUUAUUCAAUUUAUAUAAAUAUAUUGCAUUAUCUAUAAGUAACUUCAUCUAAAAACUUGUUUUUACAAAGUUUUAUAGUUGAAUGCAAUGAUUAUCCCACAUUCCCAGACCUAUUUGAGAUAAUGGCAAAGUAUUGAGGGGUAAUUGAUGUCAUUUUUUAUGCAGGUGCUAAUUGAGACGGGCUAAAAGUGAGGGGGGCUUUUCAUUAUUAUUAUCCCAAAAAGAGUAUUUGGCAACAACAAGUAGUAACAACUUCAAGGAUAAUAUAACAAAACCUUUUCGAUGAGACAACAGUUUUUGUUUAUGCUAUAUACUCAGACUUUUCUAAUUCUAAACCAAAACUGUUUGACUACUUUCGUCGGCAAAAUCUGCAACUACGUGGUCGCGAACCUCAAAUCCUAAUUCUCAACGGCAUAGAUUAGCAAAACUCUUUUCUCGACUUUGGACAGCGAAAAGCUAUUGUCGCACCGAUAGAACCUUCUCUGUUAUGUCCUCAAUGAAAUCAAGAUUGACGGUCUUUCUCUUGCCAAUGUCGUCCCAAUACAUUGGAGACCAACAUUUUCGUACACACAAGGCAUCAUACAAGGCCAUGCCGAUAAUUGUUUGGUGGUUGCUAUUAUAGACGAAUUCCACCAAGGAUAGUUCUUGCUCCCAACUCCCACCAAAGUCUAACACAUAUAGUCGAUGCAUACCCUCCUAAUUUGAAUUACUCACUUUUAUUGGCCAUUGCUAGCAAUGGUAUGCCAUGCAAUGACUCAAUCGCGUGCCUAAAGCUUGUUGCAUUAUCCGUCAAAAGUGUGAAGUGAAGUGAUGAAGGCGUCCCAAUCAGAAUUGAUCAACACGGGUAUCCAUACAGAUGCAAGAUCUCGUCGAUAUAAAGCUGGGCCAGCCUUUCAUCUGUCCCCGUCAAGUUAAUCAACAAGAAGUGUGCCGAUUUCGUUCAUCAAUCCACCACAAGCCAAAUGACGUAGUAGCACCGUUGCGAUCUAUGUUAACCCGUAAGACAUUUGUCGUUAAUUCUUCCUACUUCCACACCGGUAUCUGAACAUUCCAAGCUAAAUAUUGCUGGCUGAGGUGUUACAGAGUAAGUCGAAGACAUGCCAGGCAUGUCUUUCAGUUUCAAGGACGAGCCUUUUAAAAGGAACACAGUAACACACACACGAACACACAAUCCGGUUACUAUAUUAUUAUGAGUAUGAUCGUCUUCGUAUUCAUAAGUCAUUUUCGAUGAUCGAACUUCGGAAUUGACAAUCUAUACCAUUAAACCUUCUAAAAAAACGAAUUUCAAGAUUUUUUGAAACAUCGUUUACAUUACAAUCAAAAGACCUUAAAGUUAAAACUGACAAUUUUUAUGUCGAUGUGGGACAGUUUCCUCAUUUAACAGUGUAGAAUAAUGGGAAUAGGUUGAAUUUUUGAUAAUAGAAAAUUCUAUUUGCUAUCUAAAUCAAGAUAAGUAGCUCUAAUCUGGACUCAAAAAUUCUGAUCCUCUAUUUUUAGAAGGUCGUUCGAUUUUGAUCAUGCAUUUUAUAUCCGCUUCAUGAACUUGACACUAAUUUUCAUAAACAUGAAAUUCGGUUUCAAGGUACUCAAUGCUCUUGAUCAUGUUUAAUAGUAGCCAUUGUUGAUUUAAAGACUUCAUCAUCAAAAUGACUUGUGAAUUCACACAAAUCAAACAUCAAAUAAGUACAGUUUUGUGAUUUUACUAAAUGGUGUUGCCGCAAUCUAAGGCUGCAAGCUAAUUUAAGAUUGUGGGCAUUUUUGUAAUUUUCCAAACUAAAAUAUAUUUGCCUCUGGCAGGACUAAACAUACAUUGGUUUGAAACCAAUUCAACCCACUAACCCUUAGGUCACAAGUCGUGAGUCCAUGCUUGCCUCGUAUAACACGAUCGGAUGGCUAUCACCCACUUCUCUAGAGAAUGCACUAUACUAGAUUGUGAUCCAUUCUAACAAGGUUUAAAGUGCCAUGGUACAGGGUCAUGCCGCUAUCAGCCUGGCAUGAUACGGCACCGGCACGCUUGCAUGCCGACACAUGAUACGCUUGCAUGCCGAUGAAUACGCAUGACCCCCUACUAGCACGCUUUGGUACGGAUUUAUUUCAACUUUUUUAAUUCCAAUAAGCUUUUAUAAUGUUAUUUUGAACGAUUUAAUCAAAUAAUUAUGAAUAUUUGUUAUGUAUAACUUACUAUACUCAUCAAUUAAUAUACUUAUAUAUUUUUUGUAUGUAAAGUACAACUAUACUUGAUGCAUAAUAGAAAUUUUUACAGAUUAGAAUUUUAAAAAUACAAAGACAUCUUUUUUUUUUCAUUUGACUAUAUUACAAUUUUUCUUUUAUAAAAUACAAAAAAAUAAUUUUAAAAAUUAUUUGAAAAAAUUAUUUUAAAAAGUAUUUGAAAAAUUAUUUUUUUAUUAAUGUUUUUAAAAAAUUAGUAGAUCUAUCAAAAAAAUUAAGCAAAAAAUUAUAUGACAAAUAAAUUAAAUAAAUUUAAGUAUCAAUUGAUUUAAUUUAGCAUUUAAUUUUAUCAGUAUUUUCAAUCUUCUAGUGCAAACAUAAAAUUUUAUGUGUGAUGUGCCACAAAAUUUGUUUAUUAAGUUUGAUUCUGUUCCCUUAAUUCGCCAAAAAUUUCGCGGUGCGACAAAUUUUGAUAAAAUAAUUUAUGAAGAAAAAAUAGAUGUUUGUGGUGGAAGCGGAGGGCUUGAACAAAUCUUUUGUCUAUAUAUUGAUAAACAAAAAAAAUUAAAUUAUAAUUUUUUUGACUUACCAAAUAAGUAAAUUUUUGAUUUGUAAUGUCUUUGGGGGUGUGGGCUAUCCAGAAUGCUUCGGAUACCCCAAAGAACACAACAAAAAGGCAAAGAAAGCAAAAAGCAAAAAGGCAAAAAAAAAUAGCAGUGCCGGCACGGCACUAUGCCGCAGCACUCGCCGUGCCGCUCUGUCUUGUGUGGCACGGUACGUGCCGCCCCAUGUUGUACGGCACAGGGUACCACUUUAAACCUUGCGUAUUAACUUCUCCGGAGAAGGCACUCUCUACUAACUUGCGAUCCUUUCUAGAGGCGCAACUAGCCAACUACAUAGGGUACUCACAAGUGCAAACGAUCAUUAUCAAUGCUUAUUUUCAAGAUUACUAAUAUGCUCAAUUUGACAUUGCAUAAUUGACAAAAAAUAACCACGCAAUCUUGAUUACUGAAUAUAUGCAGACUACUAAUUAAGAAAAAAGUUAUGCACUAAUAAUAAUUACAAAGAAUUAAACUUGUUGAUAUUAAUGAUGCAUCCUAUAAUAUGUACAAAAGUAUGACAAAGAGUACAUUAUAAUUACUUGGUUUUGUAGGAACUAUAACAACCAUAAAACGGAUUAACCCUCCCCAGAAAAAUAAUUCCCUAUGCCGUCGGCUCACUAGCAUUCACAUCGAACACCUUCAAACAUAACGAUAUUUUUUAAAAAAAAGCGAAUUCAAUUGCGAUUGGGGUCACUUAGCUGGACUAGAUGCUCGUAAUGCCAAUGGUAGUAUAUUCUCAAUAAAAAUAUGACAAUCAUGACUUUUAAGACCACUAAUCUUACACUCGAUAACAUUCACACAUCUUGAAAUAUUUGAGGCAUAACCAUUAGGCAUUUUAAUAUCCUUGAGAACUUGACAAAGAAUUCUUUUUUCUAUUUUAGAUAUCAUGAAGCAAUCUGAAGGCAACCUUGUCUUUCCAUCUGCAAGUAAUCAGGGAUGAAGUUUAGGUCUAAUGCCUAAUUCUACUAAAUCCUGUCAUGCCUUUGAAUUUUCUUUUGAUUUUUUAUCAAGAUUCAACAAACUGCCAAUAAAAUUGUUAAACGUAUUUUUCUCUAUGUGCAUUACAUUUAAACAAAUUAUGAGGCAACAAAUUAUAUUGCCAAUAUGGUAAUUCAUUUUCCAGCACCUCAAUGCGCCACUGGAUUCUGAACUAGAAAUAGAUUCAUUUGAUGUUGUAUUGUCAUUUUUUAUUCGUUUCUUCUUGUUGGAUCUCAUACUAUUUAUUCCUUAGUUAUUUACUGUUGGCGGUUUACCAAAUUGGAAUUGCAUGCUUUGCAUUUGCCUUAAUAUAUCAACUCCUGCUAUCCGAAGAGCUGCAGUUCUUAUCUCCUUUGUGUUGUCAAAAAAAACUUUUUGAAUAACGAAAUAUGUCCCUCAGGUAACAACGACGAUGGUGCGUGUAAUAAUACUUCCCUCUAUGGCGUAACCACUUAGAAUGCAUUUGCUCUGGACAACAAGAACAUGCAAACUUCCCUUUAGUGCUCAAGCGAAUUAAAAUUCCAUAUGCAAGAAAGUCAUUUAUGGUCCGUAAAAAUGCAACCCGCAUAUGAAAAAAAAAAUUCGGCUCAAAGAAUCAUACGUUUCAACGCCCUCUCACAAUUUUUUAAUUCCUCAACUAAAGGUUAUAGAAAACAUCAAUAUCAUUCCCCGGUGCUUUUUCACGUGGAAUAAUCAUUGAUAACAUAAAAGAUGACAAUUUCAUAUAAAUCCAAGGUGGUAAAUUAUAUGUAACCAAUACAAUCGGCCAUACACUAUAAGUAGUACUCAUUGUUCGAAAUGGAUUGAAACCAUUACUACAAAGAGCAAGUCUCACGUUGCGGGAAUCAAAGGAGAAAUUACAUAUCGUUCAUCAAAUGACUUCCAUGCUUCACCAUUUGCAGGAUGUCUUAAUAGCGCAUUCUUCUUACGAUGUUCUUGUAUCAUUUGAUGUGCUAUCUCAUAUCAUUCGAUGUUCUCGUAAAGGCAACAAAUCCUUUGCAGCCUUGGUAUAAGAGGAAAAUAACGUAAAACUUUUACUGAAAUCAUCCUCUUUUGUCUUGGUAUGGCAGGUGUGUUAGAAGCAUUAUCUUCAUUAUUUGAAAUAUGAACUUUUUCCAUACUAGUAUUUUCCAACAAGAGGAUCCACAAACACCACAAACAUCCUAAUUUACUUUAUCAUCUCGAAAUAAUAUGCAAUCAUUAGGACAACAAUGAAUCUUCUCAUAACUUAGACCUAAGGUCUUAAUAAUUUUAUUUUUUGCUUCAUAUAAAGAACGGGGUAAUGAAGUACUUUCAGGAAAUGCAUCAGCCAGUGUCUCUAAUAACAUACUAAAUGACUUUCCUGACCAACCAUUUAGGCAUUUCAAGUGGAACAAAUGGAGUAUAAAAGAUAGUUUUUAAAAUGUCUUGCAUUCCAGAUAUAAUUCUUCAUUUGCAUCUUUUAGUAGUUUAUGAAAAUCAUGAUUUCCAUUAGUCUCUUGACUAGAUUGUUCUAUGCGAGGUUCUACUGUAGAUUGUUCUGGGUCCGCCCUUCCGCCAAAUUCUUUAAUUGGUAUAUCUAUUUCAUUAGUUGGUUCACCGGCUAAGCCAAUGGCAUCAUGUAAAAGUCUAUAUAUGUCAUCUGAUCUUCUAAACUUUUGGGUAAUAGGGAUGCACUCUUGCACAUGUAAAACAUAUUGUACAUGCAAAGACUGAGAAGUUGAAGAAGAGGUGGCAAUUUUAAUUAGGGAAAUAAAAGAUAAAGACUCCCUCCAUGGCAAACCCAUCUUAUAUAUUCCCUUAGUAAGCCAUCACAUAUUAAGUGUAUCUUCGCAUCCUCAAAUUUCUGUAAUGAACAAUUAACACAGCGUACAUAGGGGAACAUUAUUUUGCCAUUAUAGGAUACAUUACAAAAUGUAAAUUCUACAAAUUGUGAGACUUCAUUUUUAUAUGCAUCACUAUUUCUAGGUUUGAUCAUCCAACUUUUAUCCAUUAUAGCAAAACACUCCUUAAGAGGUGAUUUUCUAAGCAUUCUUUCAACACGAACUAGUAGAUUCUUUAUCCUCACAGCGAUGCCCCAGCAAGAGUUUGACUAGGUUCGGGCGUGAAAACCUUCUACCAAAUUCACCUAAUUCGCCUUAAACUGCAAUUGGUAAGAAAUUUUUUAUGCUACAUACUAUACCACAUUCAACAACAGAAUUAUGAAUAUAAAUACAAUCAAUGCUCAAAAAACUGCUUAAAGAAAAAAAAAUCUUUGCUGCUGCUUAGUUACUUUAUUUCUAGCUGAGUUACUUUAUAUUGAUAAAGUAGGAACUGCACCUACAAUUAGCUUUAUUGAUUUUAGUAAAGCCUACGAAGUGAACACUAAGUUUAAUACAUAUGCUCAAUCAAAAACAACUCUGCUGCCAAAAUCAAAAGUAUAGUGCUAAUAUGGUCAUUUUCUGUAUCAGAAGCUAUUGAUAAGCUUUCUUAUGGUUGCUCUUCCAACAGUCAUAAUUUUUCUAGCAUUGUUCUUUUAAGCAAUAAGCUUAGCAGCUAUAGUAAGAGGCUUCAACAACACUGAUCAAAAGUAUAAUGCCCAGUAUGGCUCACUUCUUCCUGGCAUACUGUAACUAGGGAGGUUUUAAUGAAUAACGCUUACAUCCUCCAGAAUUCUACUAAAAGAUCCAAAUAAAAAGACAAAUGUACAACAUUGGAGACUAAACAAAAACCUAAAACUGUAUCUAACUUCAGUUGCUCCGGUCUAAAUCGCUUGAAUUUACAAUAAGAUCAAAACAAUAAGAUCUAAAUUAUUUGAAAAUACAACUUCAAUCAACAGACCAGUGCUCCGGAUAAGUUGCAAGGAGAAAAAGUCACUUAACUCUCCAGCCCAGAAAAGAAUGCCUUCACUGCAUAAUCUGCAGAAAAGCAUAACCCACCUUCAAAUGUAAGAAGCACAAUAUAGGGAAAUACAGAACUGCGUAAAGUAUAUUGCGCCACAUGGGUGACUCAAGAUAGUAGUGAAGAUUGAUUAGAUCAAUAAAAAUUGUACUUGUGUUUGUAUUAGCAAAAGAUAUUAGGUAAAUUUACAUCUAUCAGGUCUCACUGGGCAUGCAGUUAACCAUGUGAACGAAAUGAUGAUGUGUAAAAGGGUGGCGCAUAAGAAUGAACAAUGACACGUACCCAAAACAAUAAAAUCUGAUAACUCCUCUCAAAGGGGGAAAACGAGAGUAGUUUUAAAAGUAACUACGGAUGAAAGUAACUAAGCAGCAGAGAUUUUUCUUCUUUUUUUUUUUUUAGGAUAAGCUGCAGGGAAGUGGGGAAGGGCGCACACCGAGCAGGCCAAGUGCCUCGGUGUAACACACUGGACCUUUGCAAAUUAAGAUGUUCGAGUGUUUGGACAGUGUCCUGAGCUUUUCCAGACUUUCUGGUAGGUCGUUGACUGUGUUCCGACCUAUGGUUUGUAUCCCGAGAUUUGCGGUUUAAAGCCUUGCACCAAAACCCGAAAAAAUGGGAUUUGGCCAACUCUCGGGUAGCUAUCUGAAGGUCUUGUACCGGUACAAGUUGGUGGUUGUACCGGUACAAGGUUGAUGGUUGUACCGGUACAGCCACCGGGCUUGUACCGGUACAGAGCCGCUGAACCCCCCAAACCCGAGCUUCGGGUUGAGAUUUUUCGCGGGGCUUGUACUGGUACAAGGGCCUGUGUACCGGUACAAGGGGGCAUUUUUCGUACAGUUUGGACUGCAGGGGUGUUUUUGCUAUUGUAGCAUUUCUACAAAUAACCCCACGCCUCCCCUCUUGUUCCCUGAGCUUGGAGGCAGUGGAGAGAAGGUAUGGGAGCCCUCUAUUCUCUCUCUUUGAUUUUCUUUGGUUUAUUUGGAAUUUUUGUGGUUUAAUCCUCUCUUUUUGCUCCUCUUUGCUUUUUGGUGCUAUUUCCACCAUGGGAGAAGCUUGGGAGCUUGGAGUUGAGUUUGUUGGAGGAGAGAUUUUCAACCCUAGUAGAUUUUGAACCUUGUUUGAGGCUUCAUGAGAGGUUAGUUGCUUACUAUUUCUCUUUUGAUCAUGAUUUUCAUGGUUUUUGUAUAGAAACCCUAGAAAUGAGGACUUAGGGUUUAUUUUGGGCGUUUUGGGCUUUUGGAGCUAGAUUCUUUGAUUUAGAACCUUCCUUGGGCUUGGAUUGGAAGGAUUCUAGCUCUCCUUUGGAGCUUAGGAGAGGAUUUUUACUCUUGAGGUGAGUUUUGGCCCUUUUGCUUUAUGGUUAAUGAUUGAGCUAAUUGCUCUUCAUUUCGUUUGGGUGACCCUAUUUUUUAUGUUUCUAGGGUACUAGGAAGCUAGUGGAUACCUCUGUUCGGCGAAACGAAGGUUUCGAUUUUGGUGGGUUUGGCCUCAUCUAGAUGAGAUAAACUUCUCAUAUGAGGGUUUUUAUUUAUCGUUAAGUGAAAAUGCAUGCAUAUCCUUAUUAGAUAGAAUAUUUGAGAAUUUUAGAAUGCUUAAAAUGCACAUGUUAUAUACAAUGCAUAUUUGACCUCUAUAUAGUAGAGAGUUUUCAUAUUGGGCUAGGGGUCUAUGGUUAGCAUUCUUACAUUUGAUUGACAUCAUGUUACAUAUGGUGCAUAUGGCAUAUAGAUUACACUCUUGGACUUAGAACGCAUGCUUGACAUGGUUGAACAUAUCGACAGUAAGUGACAUAGGCUAGAGUGUAUACAAAUAGUAAGCUAAUAUCAUAAAGCGGCAUUAGGCUUGGACUAGAUAUGGACUCGGCAAGCUAAUGUCAUAAAGCGGCAUUAGACUUGAUGGAUAUGUAAAUUGCAUGUGCAUGUUAUUAUUAUGAGAAUUAUGCCAAGUUGAUAGUUGCAUUGGAAAGAACAUACAUGUAGCAAUACGAGAACAUGCUAGAGAGCAUGUGUAUUAAUCUAUUAUUGAUAGAACAAGCUAACAUCAUAAAGAGACAUAGAAUGUGAAAUGUGCUUAAAUUAUAGCCAUGUUUAAGUGUCAUAAAGAGGCACUAAACAUAGUGAAUGUGGGAACUUCACCUUGAGAUUUGGACUUAGUAAAGCUAAGGUCAUUGACAUCGAAAUUAUUGAACGGUUAAACCUUCACAUUGAGACAAAGUACUAGACCUUUGGGUUGCUAGUGACUGUUACCAUGUUAGAGACAUGAUGAUUGGAUACUUGAGAUGAUGAUCUUGCUUGCUUGCCAUUUGUGCUCAUUCGCACAUGCUUGUACGGGUCGCUCCCUACAAGCCGGCACUCCGGAGUUAGCCUACGCGACAUAUGCUCGCUCGUGCGGUACUGAGAAGCCUACGGGGUCGAGUGGGACAGACACAUUCCAAGGGCAGGAAUGUUGGGCUACCACAGGCACUUAGGCGGCACAAGCCAGACCUCAGCCUGUGUAGGUCCUAAAUGAGGAUUGAACGACUGAUAAUUUUAAUUAAUUUGGGUUGGAUAAAACACUUACUAGGACAGUUUGAUGGUAGGUGUGAUUCUGUUGCAUGCUGAUUGGCCAUUGGAGUUAUAUAGUAUACUUGGGGACGUUUAUCUUUAUUGCAUUGUUAGUUAUACUUUUGGGUUGCCCAUUGGGAUACUAAUACUUAGAUAUGUAGUGUUGGCUCUUGGGACAGUUUAUCGCAUACUGUUGUAUAGUAUUUACUUGAUUGCCAUCCAUAGCAAACUUGUUUAAGUUAUUGGCAUACUGGACAUUGGUAGAGUAGGAUGUACUCCAUGUUUCGACGGCCGAUCCGCCUAUGAUUACUGUGGCAUAGUAGAGUAGCUGUUGUAUUAUUACGAUCGCUUUAUUUUACCGCCAGUUGAAUUUUUUAUGUUAUUCCUGUAUUCCUGCUCGUGCUUUUUGGGCCUUAGGUUGGUUUUCGGGUUUUGAUGCAGCGUGAGUAACGUUUGUCCACUUGGGGAACUAUAAAUCUAUAGUUCUCAUGCCCCCCUGGUGUUUAUGUUUUCUUUCAGAGCCUUCCACUUCGGGAGGGGCUCGGGAUCGCGGGAAAGGUUUCGCCUUAAGCUAGCUAGCGAGGGAUUUGGCGAUAGGUGGUCCACCUCUCUUUUGUUUUUUUUUUUUGGAGAGGUUGUGAGAGUUUUGUACCAUAUUAUAGCGACCACCCUACUGUUGUAUCUUGAGACUUGUGAUGUAUUAGUUUUAUUAUUUUCUAGUGGUUUAGUCUUUUUUUUUCUUUCCUUUUUAUUUUCGCUUGUUGAUAGAACUUAGCUGCAUACUUGCUCUGAUAUCGUUAGUUAUUGUUUAUUUUAUCUUUCAUAUCACUUUGUUGUAGACGCCUUAUAUGUGCAGGCAUAUGGCGGGUCUAGGCACGCACCGGGUAGGGCCUAUGCCGGGACCCGGGGCGUGACACGCGGGGUAGGGGGGCCCAAGCGCGGGGGGGCGAAGCACACCAAGCUGGGGGGGCGCCGGAGCAGACGCGGCCCAAAAGGUGGGGAUAGCAGACCGCGUGCGGCCGCCGGCGGGGGCAAAGCAGACGUGGCCGUCGGGGAGGAGGAGGAGACGCGGCCGUCGGGAGGUGUUGUGUCGGCAGAGGCGUUCUCUAUUUUUUGGGAGAUAUUAGGGUUUUUGGCAGAGUUUGAGGCAUUUUUUUUUUUGGCCGGGGAAACCACUUUCUUUAUAAUCGAUUCUAUAGUGUCAACCGUAGGGGCGUAAAACGGGCCUAACGGCCUGUGGGCUGCCUGUCCCUGCACGACUGCAUGCUGGGCCGUGGCCCUGCACGGCUCCUGUAGCAUCUGUGAAGGGCCAGCCCGACCUAGCUCCAUGGGCCGUGCUAGGCCGAGCUUCUGCAGCCCGUAGGCCCGGCACGGCACGGCCGUUGUCGUGUUUGGGCCGUGCCGAGCUGAAAAGUCUACCCCGAGCUUGCCGUGCCAGCCGGGCCGACACGACACGGUCUAUUUACUUCUAAAGCCUGUAAGCUGUAGCCUAUUACAUAUUAUAAGCCUGGCUAGCAUGCUGCAUGCCCAACUGCCUUUAAGUUUUAGGACUUUUUGACCAAUUCUCAGACAGAGGGCCCAACGGCUCAAUAGCUGUUGGGUUAUCUUUUUUCUUUUUUUCUUCGAAAAAUACUAUUUUUACUAUUAUUUAAACAAAGAUUAAAAAAUAAAGAAAAAUUGAUCAAAAUGACGACAACGCCCUUACUAAAAUUCAAAAAAUUGAUAGUUAGAGAGGGCAUUUUGGUCAAAAAUAAAAAAUAGUUUUAAAAAAUAAUUUAAAAAAAAUUUAAAGAGGGACAGGGAAAAAAGCCUAUUGGCUAUUUCCGGGCUGGCCUGAAGCCCGGCCGGGCCCAUCCUAGAGGGGCCAGGAGCUGGGCCAGACCUUCCCCUCCAAGGAAAUAGGCCGGCACGGCUCAGCCCGCAUUUGUAAGCUGAUCGGGUUGGGCCAACCCUCGGCUCGAAUCGGCUCAGCUAAUGUGGUUCGUGCAUGCCAGCACAGCACGGCCCAGAUUACACCCCUAGUCAACCACUAGAGAUGCAAAUAAGGCGGAUUUGGAGACGAGAGCCCCGCCCUAACUACCAAAUCUCGCCCACGGGUUAAAAAAUAUAUCCCAUAAUCCGCUCCGCCUCAUAAUUCACCUGUCGCCGAUGUCCUGAAUCCGCCAGGUCAACUAUUUUUUUUUUUUUACAAAUUAUAAUAUUAUUAAUAUUUUGUAAAAUAUAAAUUAAUAUAUUUUUUAAUAAUAGUGAACAAUAUUACCAAAUUAUAUAUAUAAUUAACAACAUCAAUUAUAAAAAUAAAAAAUAUCAAUCACAAUCCGAAGCAAAAUUCAAAAAUUUCAAAUUCAUGAGAAAUGAGAGUACUAACUUAUUUGUAUUUUGGACUUUUUGGUAAAUAUUUUAUUUUUUGAGGGGUAUUUUGUUAAAAUAUAAAUGGUUUUCGGGGCGGAUUCGUGGCAGAUUAUGGCAUGGCGGAUUCAAGGCAAAAUUGGAGUAGGUCAAAAUUUUUCUCAUUUCUUGCCCUAAAUCUAUAUCGCAUCAUAAAAAUCACUAUGUUUUUUGCCUCGAACUCGUUUAUUUUUUUUGUUUAUUCCCUCAUUUAGGGCGGAUUGGGGCGAGAGCUCCACCAUCUUGGAUUCAUUUACAUCCCUAACAAUUGCAAGUCUGGAUUAAAAAAAUAAUAUAUAAAGAUAUGUCCAGAACUCGUGCGGUGUGGUGCUAGCAAUUAUAAUUAUAUGAGAAUGAGAAAGAAAAAGAGAGAGAGAGGGGGAGAGGCAGGUCAAAGGGCACGAGCAAGGAAGGCAGAGGAAGUCGGAGGGGAAAGCUCGAGAAAAGAGGACGAGUCAACGGAGUCAUCGGCGAGGUAGGCGAUUUUGAAACCCUAGUUUCAUUAGUAGAUGAACCGGCAAUAAAAACUAAACUGACCUAAUUCUGGUUAAGUGGUUGUCUGAAGGGAUGUGCGGUUAGGAUGAUAGUGGUCUCCUAAGGUUGAAUGGGUGGUUGGUGAAAUAGAAUAAUCUAAGGAGUGAAAAUGGUAAAAGGGGUAGAUCUAAAGGUAGAAAACUUACAUGCAUCGAGUGUUUGGUGUUUUUAAAAAUACCAUAGCCGGACUAUAUUAGAUAUAUAUAUAUAGAGUUGGGUUGGAAUAGUCUUAGGGCGCAUUUGGUUCGAGUUAUGUAAUAUUACAGAAUAUUUCAAUAUAUCCAGGUAUCUUGGAUUUCUAAAUUAGAUUACCACUGAUGCUGCAUUAAUGCAUUUAGUUUAAUACAGUAAUAUAAUACUGGAUUGCACUGUUUAGAGCGUUGCUCAAACAUUAAGCAAUUCAAGCAAAAGUGGAGAAAACUAACCGAAUACGAAGAAACCUCUCUCGAUCUCCAAAUGAGAGGUAGAGUCCUUCAAAUCCAACCUAAACAAAGUUUCUAAACCCAUCAAUUUGGUUCCAAAACCCUCUAAUCAAAAAUCUCCAUUUCUAACCCUAAAUCUCAUUUCUUGGGUUUCAUCUCAAGAAAUCCAUCAAAACAUGCUCCAAAGGGUAGAUUAAGCUUACUAACCUCACAAGAUGUCCCAAACCAAGCUUGGAAUGCACCAAGGUUGAAGAUCCUUCCUCUAUCAAGCUCCAACAAAAGCUUCAAAGCUUCUCCAAUGGUGAACACCCAACAUAGAGCAAGAAGGAGAAGAAGAGAAGGAUCAAAACUAGCUAAAAUCCAUCAAAAAGAGAGAAAAGCUCAAGGGAGGGGUCCUCACCUAGUUCCUCCACGAUUUAGGGCUCAAAAGAGAACUCAAGGGCUGUGGAGGUGUUUAUAGAUAAGCUACAAUUACCAAAACACCCUCGAAAAACCAUCAUUAUGCAGUUAGCCAAAGUGUACCGGUACAAAUCCUGCGAGACAGCAAACGCGAGCCUCGGGUUUGCAAUUCACCACAUCUGUACCGAUACAACCAUCAAGGUGUAACCGGUACACUUUCUGUACCGGUACAACUAUCAACAUGUAGAGGUACAUAUUCCUGCAGAAUAUGAACAAUCCAUUGCUCAUCCGCUAUGUAAUCUAGUCGUUAAUUUAGCAUAACAAAUCGAGUAGGAUUACACCGAAAAUAUUAACGAGAGAGGGAUCGUGUAUCUUGCACUACUGAAAACCGAUAAUACUAUAUAUUAUAUAAAAUAACAAUUUUACCCUCUGACUCUCGAAACCCUUUCAAUAUGUUAUUUUAUAAAAUUUAAUUUAAAAUUUUUAAUUGUCAACUUUAAGUUUUUAAUUUUUAAUUUUCAAUUUAAAAUAUAAAAUUUAAAAUUUAAAAUUUUUAAACUUCAAAUUUUAAAUUUUAAAAUUUAAAUUUAAAUUUAAAUUUAAAUUUUAGAUAUUAAGUUAUAAGUUUGAAAUUUCAAAUUUUAAAUUUCAAAUUUUAAAAUUUAAAUUUUAAAUUUUAAAUUUUAAAAAAUAAAUUUGUAUUUUAAAUUUUGAAUUUUAAAUUAGAUUUUAAUUUAUUAUUUUAUAUAUAUUUAUAUUUAAAUUUUAGAUUUUAAAUUUAAAACUUUUGUAUUUUAUAUUUUAAAUUAAAAUAUUAAAUUUAUAUUGUAGCAUCCCUGGAGUACAACAUUUGAGGCUUGUCGACACGUCGUGAGGGUGUCGGGACACGUGUCGGGACAAGUCCGAGUCGCGUUGGCGCGAAAUAGAUGCAAAACGGACGCAGUGGGGACGCAAGAGCAGAAGUUAACAUUAUGCAAAUUGCAGGUUUCCUGCUUGUUGAACCUGUACAACAUCAGAGGUGUACCGGUACACUUGCUGUACCGGUACAACAUCGGAGGUGUACCGAUACACUUCGCCUGUUUCCGCGCAGCUGCUCUCAGGUUGCCAUUUGUACCGGUACAACUGCUCGUGUACCAGUACACUAGGGUAGGUGUGUCACGCCCCGAAGCCGCUACCAAUUUGGUCCGGUUCGGGCGCGUCGAACAGACGCCGAACGGACAGCACCUCUCCUGUCCGCCCAAGGCCAAACAACCAGAUCAUGUACAGUUAAGCGCCCAGGGAAUGCUUAAAUAACAUACAUGAUCGAUACGAUGCACACAAGUGCACAAUAGCUAAGAGCAAGAACCACGAGUGAAAUACAAGUGUAUAAAGAGAGUACAUCUAGCUAAUACAACCAUUCAACAUUUACAUCAUUUGAAUAUAUUACAUUUCCAUCUUCCAAAUGUAAGUACAUGUUCUCAAAAUACAUCAUGGCUUCCCAAUAUCUAUCCAAAACAUCUAGUACACGAGGGUACUCUAAUGCAUAAGGGAAAGCUACUAACUAGGCUCACUUAGGGCGCUAUGCCCUUGCCGCGAUCCUCGCUCGGCUCGCCUCUGUGUGUACCUGUACCCCAAAACCACACGGGGUGAGAACUAUAUAAAUAUAGUUCCCAGUGGGUUCGGCCGCCGACGCCGCCGGUUUUCCCACUAGGUCUAAGCUGGCACAGAUAGAGAGAUAGAUAGAUAUAUAAAGAUAAACUGCAACUACUCUAUCAUGCCACCAAUGAUAAUAAUGCAUGCAACAACUACUAUCAUGCUAGUAUCAUGUCAUGAGUAUAUAAAGGUGCAUAGUAAUGUAAACUACAACAUACACUAUGUCUACUCAAGGUAAUAAUGCAAGUCUACUAUGCAUUUCAUGUUUAUUACCCAAUCUACUUGGUUGACCCGUAGGUUAACCCUCGACUCACUCUCAAUCUCAUAGGUGAGGAGAAGCUGCACUCGCACACCGAGACCGUCUGCGGGACAACUACGUCUGCCCCUAGUGAAGUACUCCGGAGACUCGUGCUUCGAUGGAGCGACCACCGACAAGCAAAACAGACUAGUGAGUAUGAUCCAAUCCUCUCAAGAGGAUACCCUGUCUACUAGGGUCAAUGUGCCUCUGCUGCACAGUCAUGAUAUAUAAUCAAUGUUGGGACCUCUACUAUCCCUAGGUUCAUGUCAAGUUUACUACAUUAGACUCAAUGCCACUCGUUCGAUCAUUGUAGUAAGUUUUCUACUAAUUGACAUGCCACUCGUUCAAGUUUAGUGUCUCUACUACACUAGUUCAAUGCCACUCUACUAGGCUAUGUCCAAGUUCGGCUCUUUAUGCCGCUAUAGGAUUCUAUGUCAUAAGACCCAAUCCUCAUGCUACUCUAGUCUAGGUGUUCAACUCAUAAGUACACUACUAAGAAGCAUGCAAGGAAAAGGAAAUAUACAUUUAUUAAUCCUAUAAUGCAAUAUGAUCAACAUAUAUGUAACUUAGACAUAAAAAGAAACCCGGAUGUUCCGGAACGACACCCCCCACCUUUCGUGUAUACGGAGGCUCUAGAAAUGUGCUUCGGCGUCCUUUACGACGAAGCCUCGGUCUUCUUGUUCAAAUCGAUGCUCAAUCGGCCUUAUUUUGCCGAUAACUCUUGACCCGCUCGACGAAUCGAAUUUCCGACUUCGCCUCCGCGUUUAGGCACCUAUCAAUUAGGUCUACAAGGUCUCAAAUGAGAUCAAUUCCAUACUUUACCAAAAACCCUAUUUUGGUGCCCUAGGGUUAGCAUCAAGCUAAACCCAUCUCAAAACCCUAGGUUCUAGCUUCAAUCCUACCAUUCAUGGUGCUAGGGAUCCAUUUGAUCCCAUCAAAAGAGCUAAAACCCAAAAACCCCAAAUUUCACAAGCUAGGGUUAGAAGCUUACCUCUAGGUUAGCUUAAAAGAGAGAAGAGAGGAUGAGGGAGAAGUCCAAAAGCUUUCUUUUAUUGAUCUCCUUCUUUUUCUCCUUCCUUUUCUUCCUUCUUUUCCUUCUCCUUUUUUCUUCUUCUUCUUCCUUUUCUUUUCUUCCUAGAGAGAGAGAGCAAGAGAGUGUGAGAGAGAGAGAGAGAACUGAGGGAGAGUGAGUGGGAGAGAGGGACUAAUAAGCCCUCUAAUGUAACAAUAUCCAGCUGGCCCCCUCAACUUUUCACUCUGUGCACAGCCCUCACCGGGCGAUCUGCGCGCGGAGGGACCGGUCUCUCCGACUUGGGACCGGUCCCCGAGAGCUUCAGCUCGGGUCACGCGUUCGGGUACCGGUCUCUCCCAGAGAGACCGGUCCUCAGGAGACCGGUUCCUCCCUAAGAGACCGGUUCCCGAGAACUGGAAUCUCAGGACUUAGCCAAUUUUCGGCUUUCCUCGCUGGGAUCGCGUUCGGAAACCGAUCCCUCCCUACCAGGGACCGGUUGCCUCAAGCAACCCCGCGACACCAGCUGAUGAGACCGGUCCCUUCCUGCCAGGGACCGGUCCCCGAGAGCAAUUUGCUCCAGUGCAAGUUUUGCACUAUUUGCUCUCGUGGACUCAUUUCCAAUGCACCUUUGGUGAUUUUAACAUCUUUGGCCUUUCCAAAGCUUACGAACACGACCCUUGGUCGAUUUUACAUGAAGUCCAACUCUCGUAUUUCGAGAAUUCACUUCCUCACAAGGUGAGAGGGCAUUUUGGUCUUUCCAUACCUCGUACGUGUCACCGUCUCUCCCCAUUUACUAUUACAGGUGUAGGGAGCUGAGAGAGAGAAGGAAUGCUUUUCUUCAUCUCCUCUCUCUCUAGCUUGGAUCGGUCGUGGAUGUGGUCUCGGGUGGAGCUGGAUCGUCGUUGACGUCGCGUCGCGGAGUCAUUCGAGCACGCGAGCUUCGUGGUGACUGUGUUGGGAGGCCGGGCGAGCGUGGAUUUCUGCCGUUCUCGACGUCGUGCCGAUUUCGAGGGGGGCUAAUUGUCGGUUUACCUUCUAAGUAUAUAUAUAUAGUCGACAUGUGCUCGUUGAGUUGUUUUAUAUAUUGCAAAUCGCUCGAUUCAUGGAUUUGGCGUAUUCGUCUAAAAAAUCUAAAUUUGGAACUUAGUAUUAGAUUAUAGUUAUACUUACACAUGUUGGACUUGGAUAUGACUUAGGAGAAAAUGCGAUUAUAAACUGUCAUAAGCUUAUACUACCAGAUUUAGCUUUAGGAGUCGUUGUUAUUUUAUAUCGCCGCAGUAUUAGCGUGGUGAAUACCCCAGGUAGUAUAGAUUGCUGUUACGCUCGUGCUGGGAUGUCGAGCCUAUUUUUACAGUAGUGUUCAGACUAUUCCGGACUGUUGGGUGCCGUCGGGGUUGAUGGUGGACCCAGAUUGCCGUUUUGGCAUCAGAUUGUGCCGAGAGCACAUGACUUGUUGGUAGUUAGACCAGUUAGACCCUAUGUAUUUGAUUAUAGCCUGUGAGAGCCUGAAUGAACUUGGGAGAGACACUUGUAAACUCGUUAGGUCGCGCCCAUGAAUGUCAUUCCGGAAUGAGGUUUCAUUGCGAUGAGGUCACAGUUUCUAUUGGGAUUGUUCUUGAGCCGGCCACCCUCGGAGUGGUGUACGGUGUAGCUAGAUACAGGCAGGGUGGGUCCGUUUGGGCAGCCCGGGUGAGAUCGUAGUGGCGCUUUUUCCUACCAUUCGUGAGCUUGUGAUUUAAGUGGAGUCACAGUCGUCUUGUCGGACUUUUACUUGAACCGGAUACCCUGGGGCAACGGCGUAGUCUAGUUAGGCGAGACGGGUGCGUUCACAGUCUCUAGAAAGUUUUCUCCACCAAUUGCUCUUGAGCCACGGUGUAGCCUAGUUAGGCGAGACGGGUGUAUUCACAGUCUCUAGAGAGUUUUCUCCACCGACUACUUUUGAGCUAUGGUGUCGCCUAGUUAGACGGGACGGGUGUAUUCAGUCCCUAGAGAGUUUUCUCCACCGGCUACUCAUAGGGUAGUUUACUAGUUCGCUUCGACAGGCAGGUCGGGAGUGUUCAGUCCCUGUGAUGGGUAUGCUUACAGCCCCUGGUGAGAUUGGGUCAGGAUUGACAUUUCCUAUAGAUUGUUAGUGUCAGAGUUUGAUAGUAUAGUGAUUUUUAGAUAUAGAUUUGUUCCAGCAUUACUUAUUUUUCCAGCUCCCUUCUGUAGACUUAGUGAGUGGACCGAUGAUGUUGAGGGCGGCACCUACCGAGGACUACUUGUUUUUACAUUAGUUCUCAUGCCCAAUUGUUCCCUUUUAUUUUGCAGAGCCGUCGUCUUUGGCUGCUGCUGCUGCUGCUGCUGCUGAUCAUGAUCGUGGCAAGGGCGUCGCGAGUUAGAGCCCUACCAGACGAGCCAGAGCUAGUAGAGUACCUUCUGCAGGUAGUUAUAUUUUAUUUUUGAGUUCACGUACAUACGGAUGUUAGGCUUGCUUGUGCGAGCACUUUUGUACCUGGAUGCUACGUAUGUAUAUGGAACUUGUUUUUCUAUCUACUUUUAUUCUAGCAGCUCUAUACUACUGGUUGUAGUGUUAUUUGUUUACAGAUUCAGUACAGCUUCGCUUCGUAUAUAGGGAAAAUUCCUUCGUAUACGUCAGGUCUGUUGACGUGCCCGGAAAAAUGUGUAAUUCGGGGCGUGACAUAUAUUUUUGUUAAAAUUUAAAAUUUAAAAUUUUUAAAAUUAAAUUAUUUAAAAUAAAAUUUGGUAAAAAAACAUUGUUUAUAAACAGUAAAAAAAAAUUACGAAAUAUGACUAUGGGCAAUUUUGGAAUAAGCUAAACUUUAUUGUCUAGAUUACUAAAUUUUAUAGACAGAACCAAACAUAGCAACGCUAUAAACAGUGCAAUCCAGUAUUAUAUUACUGUAUUAAACUAAACGCACUAAUGCAGCAUCAGUGAUAAUCUAAUUUAGAAAUCCAAGAUACCGGGAUAUAUUGAAAUAUUUUGUAAUAUUACAAAACUCGAACCAAAUGCGCCCUAAGACUAUUCCAACCCAACUCUGUAAAUAUAUAUCUAAUAUAGUCCGGCUAUGGUAUUUUUGAAAACACCAAACACUCGAUGCAUGUAAGUUUUCUACCUUUAGAUCUACCCCUUUUGCCAUUUUCACUCCUUAGAUUAUUCUAUUUCACCAAUCACCCAUUCAACCUUAGGAGACCACUAUCAUCCUAACCGCACAUCCCUUCAGACAACCACUUAACCAGAAUCAGGUCAGUUUAGUUUUUAUUGCCGGUUCAUCUACCAAUGAAACUAGGGCUUCAAAAUCGCCUACCUCGCCGAUGACUCCGUUGACUCGUCCUCUUUUCUCGAGCUUUCCCCUCCGACUUUCUCUGCCUUCCUUGCUCAUGCCCUUUGGCCUGCCUCUCCCCCUCUCUCUCUUUUUCUUUCUCUCUCUCAUAUAAUUAUAAUUGUUGGCACCACACCACACGAGUCCUCGACAUAUCAUUAUAUAUUAUUUUUUAAUCCAGACUUGCAAUUGUUAGGGAUGUAAAUGAAUCCAAGAUGGUGGGGCUCUCGCCCCAAUCCGCCCUAAAUGAGGGAAUAAACAAAAAAAAAUAAACGGGUUCGAGGCAGAAAACAUAGUGAUUUUUAUGAUUCGAGAUAGAUUUAGGGCAAGAAAUGAGAAAAAUUUUGACCUGCUCCAAAUUUGCCUUGAAUCCGCCCUGCCAUAAUCUGCCACGAAUCCGCCCCGAAAACCAUUUAUAUUUUAACAAAAUACCCCUCAAAAAAUAAAAUAUUUACCAAAAAGUCCAAAAUACAAAUAAGUUAGUACUCUCAUUUCUCAUGAAUUUGAAACUUUUGAAUUUUGCUUCGGAUUGUGAUUUAUAUUUUUUAUUUUUAUAAUUGAUGUUGUUAAUUAUAUAUAUAAUUUGGUAACAUUGUUCACUAUUACUAAAAAAUAUAUUAAUUUAUAUUUUAGAAAAUAUUAAUAAUAUUAUAAUUUGUAAAAAAAAAAAUAGUUGACCUGGCGGAUUCAGGGCAUCGGCGACAGGUGAAUUAGGAGGCGGGGCGGAUUAUGAGAUAUAUUUUUUAACCCGUGGGCGGGAUUUGUUAGUCUGGGCGAGGCUCUCGUCUCCAAAUCCGCCUUAUUUGCAUCUCUAGUGGUUGAUUAGGGGUGUAAUGUGGGCCGUGCCGUGCUGGCAUGCACGGCCCACAUUAGCUGGGCCGAUUCGAACCGAGAGUUGGCCCGGCCCGACCAGCUUACAAAUGCGGGCUAAGCCGUGCCGACCUGUUUCCUUGGAGAGGAAGGUCUGGCCCAGCCCCUGGCCCCUCUAGGAUGGGCCGGGCCGGGCUUCAGGCCAGCCCGGUAAUAGCCAAUAGGUUUUUUUCCCUGUCCCUUUUUCUAAUUUUUUUAAAUUAUUUUUUUAAACUAUUUUUUUAUUUUUGACCAAAAUGCCCUCUCUAACUAUCAAUUUUUUGAAUUUUAGUAAGGGCAUUGUCAUCAUUUUGAUCAAUUUUUCUUUAUUUUUUAACCUUUUUUUUAAAUAAUAGUAAAAAUAGUAUUUUUUUCGAAGAAAAAAAGAAAAAAAAUGACCCAACAGCUAUUGAGCCGUUGGGCCCUCUGUCUGAGAAUUGGUCAAAAAGUCCUAAAGCUUAAAGGCAGUUGGGCAUGCAGCAUGUUAGCCAGGCCUAUAAUAUGUAAUAGGCUACAGCUUACAGGCUUUAGAAGUAAAUAGACCGUGUCGUGUCAGCCCGGCUGGCACGGCAGGCUGGGGGUCGACCUUCCGGCUCGGCACGGCCCAGACACGACAACGGUCGUGCCGUGCCGGGCCUACGGGCUGUAGAAGCUCGGCCUAGCACGGCCCAUAGAGCUAGGCCGAGCUGGCCUGGCACAGAUGCUACAGGAGCCGUGCUGGGCCACGACCCAGCCUGCAGUCGUGCCGGGACAGGCAGCCCACAGGCCGCUAGGCCCGUUUUACGCCCCUACGGUUGACACUAUAGAAUCGAUUAUAAAGAAAGUGGUUUCCCCGGCCAAAAAAAAAAAAGCCUCUAACUCUGCCAAAAACCCUAAUAUCUCCCAAAAAAUAGAGAACGCCUUUGCCGACACAACACCUCCCGACGGCCGCGUCUUAUCCUCCUCCCCGGCGGCCACAUCUGCUUUGCCCCCGCCGGCGGCCGCACGCGGUCUGCUAUCCCCAUCUUUUGGGCCGCGUCUGCUCCGGCGCCCCCCCCUGCUUGGUGUGUUUUUCGCCCUCCCGCGCUUAGGCCCCCCCACCCCGUGGCAGUUGGCCCGCUCGGUGUGCGCCCUUCCCCACUUCCCUGCAGCUUAUCUUUAAAAAAAAAAAAAGAAAAAUCUCUGCUGCUUAGUUACUUUCAUCCGUAGUUACUUUUAAAACUACUCUCAUGUUCGUUCUUAUGCGACACUCUUUUACACAUCAUCAUUUCGUUCACAUGGUUAACUGCAUGCCCGGUGAGACCUAAUAGAUGUAAAUGUACCUAAUAUCUUUUGCUAAUACAAACACAAAUACAAUUUUUAUUGAUCUAAUCAAUCUUCACUACUAUCUUGAGUCACCCAUGUGGCGCAAUAUACUUUACGCAGUUCUGUAUUUCCCUAUAUUGUGCUUCUUACAUUUGAAAGUGGGUUAUGCUUUUCUGCAGAUUAUGCCCUGAAGGCAUUCUUUUUUGGGCUGGAGAGUUAAGUGACUUUUUCUCCUUGCAACUCAUCCGGAGCACUGGUAUGUUGAUUGAAGUUGUAUUUUCAAAUAAUUUAGAUCUUAUUGUUUUGAUCUUAUUAUAAAUUCAACCGAUUUAGACCGGAGCAAUUGAAGUUAGAUACAGUUUUGGGUUUUUGUUUAGUCUCGAAUGUUGUACAUUUGUCUUUUUAUUUGGAUCUUUUAGUAGAAUUCUGGAGGAUGCAAGCGUUAUUCAUUAAAGCCUCCCUAGUUACAGUAUGCCAGGAAGAAGUGAGCCAUACUGGGCAUUAUACUUUUGAUCAGUGUUGUUGAAGCCUCUUACUAUAGCUGCUAAGCUUAUUGUUUAAAACAACAAUGCUAGAAAAAUUAUGACUGUUGGAAGAGCAAACAUAAGAAAGCUUAUCAAUAGCUUCUGAUACAGAAAAUGACUAUAUUGGCACUAUACUUUUGAUUUUGGCAGUAGAGUUGUUUUUGAUUGAGCAUAUGCAUUAAACUUAGUGUUCACUUCGUAGGCUUUACUGAAAUCAAUAAAGCUAAUUGUAGGUGCAGUUCCUACCUUAUUAAUAUAAAGUAACUCAACUAGAAAUAAAGUAACUAAACAGCAGCAGAGAUUUUUUUUUUUUAAGCAGUUUUUUGAGCAUUGAUUGUAUUUACAUUUUGUAAUGUAUCCUAUAAUGACAAAAUAAUGUUCCCCUAUGUACGCUGUGUUAAUUGUUCAUUACAGAAAUUUGAGGAUGCGAAGAUAUACUUAAUAUGUGAUGGCUUACUAAGGGAAUAUAUAAGAUGGGUUUGUCAUGGAGGGGAGCCUUUAUCUCACCUCUUCUUCAACUUCUUAGUCUUUGCAUGUACAAUAUGUUUUACAUGUGCGAAAGUGCAUCCCUAUUACCCAAAAGUUUAGAAGAUCAGAUGACAUAUAUAGACUUCUAAAGGAUGCCAUUGGCUUAGCCGGUGAAUCAACUCAUGAAAUAAAUAUACCAAUUAAAGAAUUUGGCGGAAGGGCGGACCCAGAACAAUCUACAGUAGAACCUCGCAUAGAAUAAUCUAGUCAAGAGACUAAUGAAAAUCGUGAUUUUCAUAAACUACUAAAAGAUGCAAAUGAAGAAUUAUAUCUGGAAUGCAAGACAUUUUAAAAACUAUCUUUUAUACCCUAUUUGUUCCACUUGAAAUGCCUAAAUAGUUGGUCAGGAAAGUCAUUUAGUACGUUAUUAGAGACACUGGCUGAUGCAUUUUCUGAAGGUACUUCAUUACCCCGUUCUUUAUAUGAAGCAAAAAAAUAAAAUUAUUAAGACCUUAGGUCUAUAGGUUAUGAGAAGAUUCAUUGUUGUCUAAAUGAUUGCAUAUUAUUUCGAGAUGAUAAAGUAAAUUAGAAAGUUCGUGGUGUUUGUGGGUCCUCUCGUUGGAAAAUACUAGUAUAGAAAAAGAUCAUAUUUCAAACAAUGAAGAUAAUGCUUCUAACACACCUGUCAUAUCAAGACAAAAGAGGAAGAUUUCAGUAAAAGUUUUACGUUAUUUUCCUCUUAUAUCAAGGCUGCAAAGGAUUUGUUGUCUCUACGAGAACUUCGAAUGAUAUGAGAUAGCACAUCAAAUGAUACAAGAACAUCGUAAGAAGGAUGCGCUAUUAAGAGAUCCUGCAAAUGGUGAAGCAAGGAAGGCAUUUGAUGAACGAUAUGUAGAUUUCUCCUUUGAUUCCCGCAACGUGAGACUUGCUCUUUGUAGUGAUGGUUUCAAUCCAUUUAGAACAAUGAGUACUACUUAUCGUGUAUGGCCAAUUGUAUUGGUUACAUAUAAUUUACCUGUGACACCCAAUAGUCCCACAUCGAAUGGAAAUGAGGUUGUCAUUGGAUUUAUAAGAAACUUAGACAGUAGUAAUAAUAACUGGGCUGAAGCAUUUUGGGUCGGUGGUUGGGCCCAACGAGUUAUUAUUGCUAGUGGGCUGGGUUGUUACAUUUGGUAUCAGAGCCGGUUCACCAGCUGGACGUGUGUGGUGAGUCUCGGCUGAGCCAUGGUCUGGAUGACGGGUUAGCGAGACGAGUCUCACAUCGCCUGGUGAUCUUGGACUGUGUGUGUGAUUGGACUGACGAGGACGUCAGGGCCUUAACAGGGAAAGUUUGUGACACACCAAUUUCUUUUUUACAUAUCAUAUUGAGUUUUAAAUGUGUUUUGUAUGAAUUCUUCAGCUGGUUUAUAAAAAAAUUAUCCUCGCUCGAUUUGUUUCCCUUUUUUCCUCUCUCUUAAUCUUUUUCCCGGGGUUUUGAUUAAUUUCAAUGGGUCAAUUGCCUCAUUGGCUUUGCUGCCUAACUCAUAAUAUUUGAUGACCGGGGGAGUCUGAGCAGAGUAUAUAUAUUUGUUUCCAUGUCCAUUCAUGUAUGCGGUUUGGUAUGAUUUUCACGAGCUGACUUAGGAGUUCUUUGUCUUUGUUAGGAGCAUUGAUUUAAUACUUCAACCAUUGGUUUUAUGCUUCAAUUUUUAAUUCCAAUCGUUUAUUGGACCCCUUCAUAUAUGCUGUUACAUACAAUUUUUCACAUGAUUUGUGCUGGAGAUUUCAUGAAGGAGAGGAACUCUUGGAUGGUUUUACUUUAGCAAAAAUUCAGGUUACUUGAAAUGUAAUUGGUGCAUUUUAGUUAUUUAAGCUGAAAUUUCAUCAUGUUGAUGGAAUGGUGAAAUUAACUCUAUUUCCACCAAUCCCUUAUUUGAAGUUGUGAUUUCUUUAAUUCUUUUUCUGUUUUUGGAGCUGAAAGCUUAAGAAAUUUCACUACAGGCCGCAAGGUUGAUUGAUCUUUAGUUUAGUAAAAUUUCAAAUUUUUUUUCGUCAAUUUCACUAUUGAUGCAGCUUUGUAUUGGAGUAGUUUACCUCCUGUGCUGAUUUUGGGGGCACUGAAUUCUUGCUAGAUUGGAGGCUGAGGAGACGUGUGUUUGUUAUCGAUUCAGCACUAUAGUUGGGUUAGCACUUGAGGUGGGUUUAAUUAAUCAAAUUUGAUGGAAUUCCCACUGUGUACUAAAUUCCUGCAUACAUGCUAUCCACUUAUUCAAAUACAUGCUUAUAAUCAAUCAACUCAACCAUAUUGGCAUAGCUUCAUGUUAGAUAUUUUGUAUAUCGAAAACUUUUAGUGAUGAUAACCUUUUUUCGAUGAUGUCAGUUCAAAUCGACUCAAAUUUAUGCAUUGAUUUGUCGGAGCUGUGUUUUUUGACUAGCUUUUGUAUCCAUUUAUUUGGGGAAGGGGGGCGGGGGGUGUCUUGCAAAUACUUAGUUAUUUGACAUCAUGCUUUUGAGGCUAGAAAAAACUCUUGCCUAUUGCCUUUCCUUCAGCAUGAUUUGCCAAAAAAAAGAAAUUCCUGGAAUCCGCAAGUACCUUUUUUGUUCCUGUUUGUUUUCCAAAAAAGAUAACAAUCAUGUUUUCUACAUUUUCUUGCUGGCUGUAGGUUCUUUGUUGCUCUUUGUAGAUGUGUUCUGUGUGGUUUAUAAUAAUGCUUUGUCAUUUCUAGGGUACUUUGGCUUCACCUAUUUUUGUGCAUGCUAUGAUGACUGCCUCUUGAUUUGUCAUUUCUUGGGUACUUUGCCAGCGCCUCUUUUUGUGCAUGCUAUGAUGACUACCUCUUGAAUACCAUCAGAACCACGGCUUUGCUACAUUGUUUUUUUACUAAUAUUACUUGGUUUUAUUUAUUUCUUGCUGUUUUUUUCUAAUUUUCUUGCUCUUCUUCAAGGCUGUGAUGAUAAAUAGAGGAAAGUGUGGAAAAUAUUGUCUUCGAAUGAGUGGAAGUUUGGAUGGCCUACUCAUAGGCAACUGCUUCCUACUAUUGUUAUUCUUAUGAUUGCACACAUUUCCCUCCAAUGGUAAUCUACUGCUCAGCAACCAUUUCCUACUGUUCUUAUCCUUUGUCAUUGUGCAACUUUUCUUUCUACAAUAAUCUGUUUGUUCUGUUUUCUAUUUGUUCUUUGUUGAAUUCAAAUUGAAGCCGAAUUUCGUACAAAUUAGAGUCACUUUUCGCAUGCUUUUGCCGCAAACUUCUGGGUCAUAUUAGCACGUUUCUGGAUGCCGCCGACAGCAGCAAGGGCUGCUGCCAGCAGCAGCAAAGGCCGCUGCAAUGACAGCCUGCAAUACCAGGGACUACUGCCGCUGCAGCAAGCGGCAGCAGGGGUUGCUGCUGCUGCUGCUAUUGCGGCCAGCAACAGCAGAGUCUGCUGCUAUGGUUGUUGCCUCAGAUAGUGACAGCAGCAGGCGCUGCAGCAGAUGCAAUAGUUGACGCAGUAGCCGGAGUGGGCACAUUGUUCAACGAGUGGUUCCGCUGAAGUCACAGCAGUAGUGGCUCAAAUUUGGGCUCCAAUUGCGUCCAAAUUCACCUCAUUUUGAAAUGGAAGUUGAUCCAAGAAUGAGGAUGACAAUGAGCUUCAAGUUGCACUUUGUUCCAUUUGAAAUUAAGAUGAAUUGGUAGACAAGUGAGUUAAUUAUUGAAGAGAGUGGGAAAUUCAGAUUUUGAUGGAUAUUUUCUAACGAUGAAUUGGUAGGCAAGUGAGUUAAUUAUUGAAGAGAGUGUGAAAUUCAUAUUUUGAUGGAUAUUUUCUAAUGUCUUCAUCUAUUUUUUCCCUAAUUGAGUUGUAGGCAUAAAAUUGAUUUCAUUUUGGUGCUCAACUGAGGAAGAGAAGCCUGUGGACUGUUUGCAGCUGCAUUGGUUCUAUUUUUUUGUAUCAAGAUCUUUCGAAUGCAUAUAUUAUCGCUGCUGAUUUAUAAAUUUGUUUUCUUUUUCCUGGCAAUUUUUUUUUUGUGUGAGUACCUCAAAAAGGUGCAGGUUUA
rnacentral:lncRNA from 1 species